rnacentral:lncRNA from 1 species
UUUUUUUUUUGAGGUCGACUGGUCGACUCUGUCUUCAAUAGGAUUAGUGGGGGCACGCUGAGUGCACCCACUGGUUGUAAUCCCCGAGACUACGGUCGAAUGCUUGUAUUUGGCUGUAGUCUUAGAAACGCAUGAUUUUUCCUUUUCCACUCGGAAGUGAAUUAUAUUUGACAUUUAGUCAAUUGUUUCUUGCAGAGAUCCUGUGACCUUGCGGCUCGCUACACUGAGCUGGAAAACAAGCACAUUCAGCUCGAGCUGGAUUUGAAGCUGGUUCAGGAGAAUCUGACGAAGGCAAGGGAGGAGACCAAAGGUAUGUUUGGUGAGACCUCGCCGACUGCUUUUUCCCUUUAUUUGUUUCAAAAUCUGAUCUUGCUGUAACUUGCAGGUAAGGUGAAGGAUGCCCAACAGAAAAAAGACCUUGAACUAGCUGAGAAGAUCAAGCUUGCUGACGAGAAGUUAGCUUCAGUCACUAAGCUUGAACAAGAAAAUACCAAUCUGAAAGCUGCUCUUGGGAAGAAAAAUGAUCUGGAGGCCUUCCUGAGUGGUCUUGCCAAGAAGCUGUUUCUUAUGCUUGAAGGUAAACCUUUAUGGUCAACAAUCAUUUUCAACUGUGAUUUUUCCAUUCGACCGUUGCCUUGACUCGGUGAUCGCCCUUGCAGAAUUUUGUCAAGACUUUGAAGAAGAGACUAGCCGGCUGGAACCAAACCUUGACCCCGUCAAUUCUCCGGUGAACGAUGAAGUUGCCAUGAAUGUUUUCCGACUAGAGUCCCGUGUCGCCGCUGUCGUGGACUAUAUCGCAAGGCUGAAGGUCGCCACAUCUCGCAUCGACUCAAUGCUCUGGCCCAGGGAGACACUCCAGCACGACCUCGAGUCGCUGAUGGCUCGCUUGAACACAGUCCCUGGUCGAGUGCAGGAGUGGAAAAAGUCCUCGGCUCGGUGCGGUGCAGAUGUUGCUCUGUGUCUGGCCCGACUCCACUGCAAAGAUGCGCGAGAAGACAAGCUGGCGGCCCUCCGGGUGGCCAACACCAAGAAACACGACUUCCGUUCCUUUAUGGAAACUUUCAUUGCUGCUGCCACUCGGAUCGCAGAUGGAAUUGAUCUUGAUGAGUUUGUUGCACCUUCCAGCCCUCCACAGGAGGGGUAAAAAACUUCUUUUAAGCUCGACACUUUAAAUUUGCCUCGGUAUGCCGAGUGGAGUUGUAACCGAUAAACCUUAACAGGCUUAGCGCCUGAGCACUUUCGGUUCCUUUAGGUAUCGUUCCGAACUUGAAUUUGAUGUUUGAACAUGAUUGCUUUUGGCUUGAAAUGUCUUUUGUAGGUUCAAAGCAAGACGCUCACUGCAGUCGACUUAUUCCUUAAUCCACUUAGGCGAGCACUGGGCUGCAGCUAAGCCCCCGAGUGAGAGGUUUGCUCUUCACUCGGUAGGAUUUUUAUAUCUUAGGCGAGCACUGGGCUGCAGCUAAGCCCCCGAGUGAGAGGUUUUCUCUUCACUCGGUAGGAUUUUUAUAUCUUAGGCGAGCACUGGGCUGCAGCUAAGCCCCCGAGUGGAAGGUUUGCUCUUCACUCGGUAGGAUUUUUAUAUCUUAGGCGAGCACUGGGCUGCAGCUAAGCCCCUGAGUGAGAGGUUUGCUCUUCACUCGGUAGGAUUUUUAUAUCUUAGGCGAGCACUGGGCUGCAGCUAAGCCCCCGAGUGAGAGGUUUGCUCUUCACUCGGNNNNNNNNNNNNNNNNNNNNNNNNNNNNNNNNNNNNNNNNNNNNNNNNNNNNNNNNNNNNNNNNNNNNNNNNNNNNNNNNNNNNNNNNNNNNNNNNNNNNNNNNNNNNNNNNNNNNNNNNNNNNNNNNNNNNNNNNNNNNNNNNNNNNNNNNNNNNNNNNNNNNNNNNNNNNNNNNNNNNNNNNNNNNNNNNNNNNNNNNNNNNNNNNNNNNNNNNNNNNNNNNNNNNNNNNNNNNNNNNNNNNNNNNNNNNNNNNNNNNNNNNNNNNNNNNNNNNNNNNNNNNNNNNNNNNNNNNNNNNNNNNNNNNNNNNNNNNNNNNNNNNNNNNNNNNNNNNNNNNNNNNNNNNNNNNNNNNNNNNNNNNNNNNNNNNNNNNNNNNNNNNNNNNNNNNNNNNNNNNNNNNNNNNNNNNNNNNNNNNNNNNNNNNNNNNNNNNNNNNNNNNNNNNNNNNNNNNNNNNNNNNNNNNNNNNNNNNNNNNNNNNNNNNNNNNNNNNNNNNNNNNNNNNNNNNNNNNNNNNNNNNNNNNNNNNNNNNNNNNNNNNNNNNNNNNNNNNNNNNNNNNNNNNNNNNNNNNNNNNNNNNNNNNNNNNNNNNNNNNNNNNNNNNNNNNNNNNNNNNNNNNNNNNNNNNNNNNNNNNNNNNNNNNNNNNNNNNNNNNNNNNNNNNNNNNNNNNNNNNNNNNNNNNNNUUCACUCGGUAGGAUUUUGAUAACUUAGGCGAGUACUUGAACUGCAGCUAAGCCUCCGAGUGGAAGUCUGGCUUACCACUCGGUAGGAUUUUAUUUAAUCUUAGGCGAGCACUGGGCUGCAUCUAAGCCCCCGAGUGAGAGGUUUGCUCUUCACUCGGUAGGAUUUUGAUAACUUAGGCGAGUACUUGGACUGCAGCUAAGACUCCGAGUGGAAGUCUGACUUAUCACUCGGUAGGAUUUUAUUUAAUCUUAGGCGAGCACUGGGCUACAGCUAAGCCCCCGAGUGAGAGGUUUGCUCUUCACUCGGUAGGAUUUUUAUAUCUUAGGCGAGCACUGGGCUGCAGCUAAGCCUCCGAGUGGAAGUCUGGCUUAUCACUCGGUAGGAUUUUAUUUAAUCUUAGGCGAGCACUGGGCUGCAGUUAAGCCCCCGAGUGAGAGGUUUGCUCUUCACUCGGUAGGAUUUUUAUAUCUUAGGCGAGCAUUGGGCUGCAGCUAAGCCUCCAAAUGAGAGGUUUGCUCUUCGCUCGGUAGGAUUUUUAUAUCUUAGGCGAGUACUUGGACAGCCGCUAAGCCUCCGAGUGGAAGUCUGGCUUACCACUCGGUAGGAUUUNNNNNNNNNNNNNNNNNNNNNNNNNNNNNNNNNNNNNNNNNNNNNNNNNNNNNNNNNNNNNNNNNNNNNNNNNNNNNNNNNNNNNNNNNNNNNNNNNNNNNNNNNNNNNNNNNNNNNNNNNNNNNNNNNNNNNNNNNNNNNNNNNNNNNNNNNNNNNNNNNNNNNNNNNNNNNNNNNNNNNNNNNNNNNNNNNNNNNNNNNNNNNNNNNNNNNNNNNNNNNNNNNNNNNNNNNNNNNNNNNNNNNNNNNNNNNNNNNNNNNNNNNNNNNNNNNNNNNNNNNNNNNNNNNNNNNNNNNNNNNNNNNNNNNNNNNNNNNNNNNNNNNNNNNNNNNNNNNNNNNNNNNNNNNNNNNNNNNNNNNNNNNNNNNNNNNNNNNNNNNNNNNNNNNNNNNNNNNNNNNNNNNNNNNNNNNNNNNNNNNNNNNNNNNNNNNNNNNNNNNNNNNNNNNNNNNNNNNNNUUUGCUCUUCACUCGGUAGAAUUUUUAUAUCUUAGGCGAGCACUGGGCUGCAGCUAAGCCUCCGAGUGAGAGGUUUGCUCUUCACUCGGUAGGAUUUUUAUAUCUUAGGCGAGUACUUGGACUGCAGCUAAGCCUCCGAGUGGAAGUCUGGCUUACCACUCGGUAGGAUUUUGAUAACUUAGGCGAGCACUGGGCUGCAGCUAAGCCCCCGAGUGAGAGGUUUGCUCUUCACUCGGUAGGAUUUUGAUAACUUAGGCGAGUACUUGGACUGCAGCUAAGCCUCCGAGUGGAAGUCUGGCUUACCACUCGGUAGGAUUUUAUUUAAUCUUAGGCGAAACGGAUUCGCAACUAAGCCUCCGAGUGGGAGUCUGGCUCACCACUCGGUAAGGAUUUUUACAAACUUAAGCGAAAUGGAUUCGCGGCUAAGUCACCCACUGCGGGGAAAAUUUUAUUGGACAAAAUAAAAAGUGACAAAAAUUAUGGAGGAACUAUGACACUAUUAUUUUGACAUCCAUGAACUACAGGAGUAUUUUAUUGCAACUCAUCCGAGUGAUAAACUUAAGUGUAAAAUGGGCGGAGUAGUUCCGCGUUCCAAGCUCGGGGCUCGUCGAUAUUAUGUUCGACGUUGUAAAGACGGUACGCCCUGUUGUGGAGAACUUUGGUGACGAUGAAGGGUCCUUCCCAAGAAGGAGCAAGCUUGUGAUGUUUCUUCUGGUCCACUCGGAGAACUAAAUCUCCUUCCUGGAAGGCUCGACCCCUCACAUUUCUGGCGUGGAAACGACGCAAAUCUUGUUGGUAGAUGGUUGAUCGGAUCAGAGCCAUCUCCCUUUCUUCCUCUAAAAGGUCGACUGCGUCCUGCCGCGCUUGUUCAGCUUCUGCUUCGUUGUAGAUCUCAACUCGAGGAGCAUUGUGGAGAAGAUCACUCGGCAAGACUGCUUUAGCUCCGUAGACCAAGAAGAAUGGAGUUCUUCCGGUCGAUCGAUUAGGUGUGGUCCGGAGUCCCCAAAGCACCGAGGGAAGUUCGUUGACCCGCGCUCCAGCUGCAUGCUUGAGAUCACACAUCAGUCGGGGUUUCAAUCCCUUGAGAAUCAGGCCAUUGGCUCGCUCUGCUUGUCCAUUCGACUGCGGAUGGGCGACCGAAGCGUAGUCGACUCGUGUGCCUUGAGAGUUGCAGAAAUCCCUGAAUUCCUCCGAGUCAAAGUUCGACCCAUUAUCCGUAAUGAUGCUGUGCGGGACUCCAUAUCUGAAUAUCAGUUCCCUGAUGAAGCUAACAACAGUACCGGCGUCAAGGUUCUUGAUUGGUUUAGCCUCAAUCCACUUGGUGAACUUGUCGACUUCCACCAGUACAUGCGUGAAGCCACUUCGACCCGUUCUCAAAGGACCGACCAUGUCCAACCCCCAUACUGCGAAAGGCCAGACGAGUGGAAUGGUCUUCAGAGCUGAUGCAGGCGUGUGCGACAUAUUCGAGUAGAACUGACAUCCCUCGCACUUAUCCACUAUUUCCUUUGCCAUCUCAUUCGCCUUUGGCCAGUAAAAUCCGGCUCGGUAUGCUUUGGCCACGAUGGUCCGAGAGGACGCAUGAUGACCACAGGUCCCCGAGUGGAUAUCAUUAAGGAUGAUUCGACCUUCUUCUGGUGUUAUGCACUUCUGACCAACUCCAGUCGCGCUUUCUCUAUAUAACUGUCCUUUGAUUACGGUAAAGGCUUUAGAUCGACGGACGAUCUGUCGAGCCUCUUCCUCAUCCUCCGGAAGCUCCUUUCUCAGGAUAUACGCAAUAUACGGAACUGUCCAGUCGGGAAUGACCACCAAGACCUCCAUGACCAAGUCGACCACUGCUGGGACUUCAACCUCAGUCGGAUCUGUGGCACUCUUGGGCUGUGGAGCUUCUUCGGUGAAAGGAUCUUCUUUGACUGACGGAGUGUGUAUAUGCUCCAAGAAUACACCACUCGGAAUGGCUCCUCUCUUGGAACCUAUCUUUGCUAGAUCAUCAGCUGCUUGAUUUUUCAGUCGGGGUAUGUGAUGGAGCUCCAACCCCUCGAACUUCUUUUCCAGCUUCCUCACUGCACUACAGUAUCCAGUCAUGGCUGGGCUUCUCACGUCCCACUCCUUCAUCACUUGGUUGGCCACUAAAUCUGAAUCACCAUAGACCAUCAGGCGACGGACGCCGAGUGAAAUGGCCAUGCGCAAUCCGUAUAAGAGGGCCUCAUACUCUGCCUUAUUGUUGGAGGAAUCAAAGUGAAUCUGGAGCACAUAUCUGAGCUUAUCUCCUCUGGGGGAAACCAGGACAACCCCAGCACCGGAACCAUUCAACAUCUUAGAGCCAUCAAAAAACAUGGUCCAAUGCUCCGAGUGAACUUCAGUCGGCUGCUGCUGUUCAAUCCACUCGGCGAGGAAAUCUGCUAUUGCCUGGGACUUAAUGGCUUUCUUUGCCUCAAACUUGAUAUCAAGGGGAAGAAGUUCAAUCGCCCAUUUCGCCACUCGACCAGUUGCAUCUCUGUUGUGCAAAAUCUCUGAUAGUGGAGCGUCGCUGACGACUGUGAUAGAAUGAUCAGAGAAAUAAUGAGCAACCUUCUUCGUGGUCAUGUAUAUUCCAUACACAAGCUUCUGAUAAUGAGGAUAUCUCUGCUUGGAUGGAGUCAAGACUUCAGACAAAUAAUACACUGGGCGCUGAACUUCGAAAGCUUUUCCUUCUUCUUCCCGCUCGACCGUAAGCACAGUACUGACGACUUGUCCUGUGGCUGCGAUAUAAAGCAACAGAGGCUCUUUGCUGAUUGGAGCAGCAAGCACCGGCUGGGUGGAGAGCAGAGCUUUUAGCUCGGCAAACGCUGCAUCAGCUUCUGGAGUCCACUCGAACUUGUCUGCCUUCUUCAUCAGUCGGUAAAGAGGCAAUGCCUUUUCACCGAGUCAUGAGAUGAAUCGACUUAAUGCGGCCAAGCAUCCAGUAAGCUUCUGGACAUCGUGCACUCGCACAGGGCGUUUCAUUCGGAGAAUAGUGCCGAUCUUUUCUGGAUUAGCAUCGAUCCCUCGCUCAGAAACGAGAAAACCGAGUAACUUGCCACCAGGAACUCCGAAUGUGCACUUUGAUGGAUUGAGCUUGAUAUCAUACCUUCUGAGGUUGGCAAAUGUUUCGGCGAGGUCAGCGAGCAGGUCGGAACCUUUUCGUGACUUGACGACGAUAUCAUCCAUAUACGCUUCCACAUUCCGACUGAUUUGAGUGAGUAGACACUUCUGAAUCAUUCGCAUAAAUGUGGCUCUGGCAUUCUUGAGGCCGAAUGGCAUGGUGAUAUAGCAGAAGCACCCGAAUGGAGUGAUGAAAGCUGUUUUUACCUCGUCGGGUCCGUACAGACGGAUCUGGUGGUACCCGGAGUAGGCGUCUAGAAAAGACAAUCUCUCACAUCCCGCGGUCGUGUCAACAAUUUGAUCUAUGCGAGGGAGAGGAAAAUGAUCUUUCGGGCAGGCCCGGUUGAUGUGCUUGAAAUCAAUGCACAUUCGGAGCGAUUUGUCCUUCUUAGGAACCAUGACGACAUUAGCGAGCCACUCGGAGUGGUAUAUCUCUCGGAUAAAUCCUGCCGCCAACAGUCGAGCCACUUCCUCACCAAUGGCUUUUCUCUUCUGGACGGCAGACCGCUGAAGAUGCUCUUUGACUGGUUUUGCUGAUGAGUCGACUCUUAGGCGAUGCUCAGCCAGUCCCCUGGGAACACCUGGCAUGUCAGCGGGCUUCCAUGCAAAAAUGUCCCAGUUCUCACGGAGGAACUGGAUGAGCGCUUCUUCCUAUUUCGGGUCGAGUGUUGUGGAGAUGUGGGUCGGAGCUGCAUCGGGGUCGGUCGGGUGAACGUGAACAGGCUUCGUCUCACCGGACGACUGAAAUGCAGAUUCUGUGGCGGGUUUCUUGGAUCGCAGCAAAUCACUCGGAUCUGCGUUUUGCUUGUAUUCUUCAAACUCGACCGCUGUCACCUGGGAAUCAGCAAUCUUUGAGCCCUUCUGAAAGCACUCUUCUGCCUUUUUCUGAUCACCGGUGACAGUGAUCACUCCUUUGGGGCCAGGCAUCUUCAAUUUGAGGUACACGUAACAUGGUCAAGCCAUGAACCGUGCGUAAGCUGGUCUCCCCAAAAUGGCAUGAUAUGCACUCUGAAAAUCCACGACCUCAAACGUUAACUUCUCUUUGCGAAAAUGUUUCGAAUCACCAAACACCACGUCUAGAGCUAUUUGGCCGAGUGACUCGGCUUUCUUCCCUGGUAUAACUCCAUGAAAGCUCAUGUUACUGGUGCUCAGUCGGGACAUCGGAAUGCCCAUUCCUUUCAGUGUGUCUGCAUACAACAAAUUCAGCCCACUACCAACGUCCAUCAGCACUUUUGCCAGUCGAGUGCCUUCGACAACUGGAUCGACCACCAAAGCUUGCCUUCCAGGGGUGGCAAUAUGAGUCGGGUGAUAAGAUUGGUCGAAUGUGAUGGGUGUUUGGGACCAUCUCAGGUAAUUUGCUUUUGCUGGGUAACCAUGUUCACCUCGCGGUUAAUGACUUUCAAUCGACUCUUGCUUUCCACAUCUACAAAGAUCAUCAGAGUGGAGUUGACAUGUGGAUAUCCUUCCUCACUGUCCUCCUUGUCUUCGGCCUUGUCCGACUCCUUUUCCUUGUCUUUAGACUGUUUUCCUUGAAACUGCUGGAUCAGGAGUCGACAUUGGCGAGUGGUAUGCUUUGGGUAAAUGAUAUUCCCCUCUUCGUCUUUCUUCGUGUGGAUGUGACACGGCAUAUCCAUCACGUCGUUCCCUUCUUUAUCCUUUACCUUCUUAGGGUUCCAGGAUCCUUUUGGUUUCCCUUUAAACUUUCCAUGAGCCACGGCCAGAGCCUCUCCAGGAGCUGCCGGUUCAGCCUUCCGCUUCUGUUUCCGACUGGUGUUUCCCUUCUCCGACUGGCUCGGCUUGUGCUUGCCGCUUCGGAGUCGGUCUUCUUCUUCGCCGUUGGCGUACUUGGUAGCAAUUUCCAUCAUCCGACUCAAGGUCAUGUCUCCGGUUCGACCAAAUUUCAAACUCAAUUCUCUGUUCUUGACACCAUCCUUGAAGGCGCAGACUGCCUGGUGAUCAGACACAUUCUCCACAGUAUGGUGCAAAGUGAUCCAUCUCUGAAUAUACUCCCUGAGAGUCUCAUUGGUCUUCUGCACGCAAACUUGCAGCUCCGUCAAUCCAGCCGGUCGCUUGCAAGUUCCUUCAAACGUUCUGACAAACACUCAGGACAGAUCUUCCCAAGUGUAAAUGCUGCUAGGAGGUAACUGAUUCAACCAUGCUCUGGCAGAACCUUCCAACAUGAGGGGAAAAUGCUUCAUGGCCACCUCAUCAUUCCCACCACCAAUCUGAACCGCCACUUGGUAGUCCUCAAGCCAAGUUUCAGGCUUAGACUCACCGGUGAACUUGUUGACUCCUGUUGCCAACCUGAAAUUGGGAGGAAGCACUGCGGCUCUGAUAGCUCUGCUGAAACAUUUCGGACCAGAAAUGUGCACUCGACUGCUCGUGGGCGCAUCUCUGUCGAGUCCACCCCGAUGGGCUCUGUUCCGGUUGACCAAGCCUUGCACGAUAAUGGAUCGCGCGUCGAAGCCUGGUUCCCUGGGGUCGACUGGAACUCUUCGCCCCGCACUGAGCUGACGUCUGUCAUCUUGCUGCCGAGGAGCGUAAGACCCACCCCUCGGAGGGGAAGUGGGCACUCGACGCCUAUCAUCUCGGUCGUGUCGGUCUUCAUAUUGGUCUCGCCGAUUCUCGCGCCUCUCACGCCGCGGAGGCGAUCUGGGACUGUGAGCCGACUGAACCGUAUUCGCAGCGACGGAUCGACUGUGAAUUCUGUUGCGCGACUGCGACACGGCUGAAUUCUGAUCUCCUGCUGCCCGGAGCAGAUCCCUGAUCUGCAUCAAGCCUCUGCCAGCUUCCGACUGAGAGGGCUGGAUGGACUCUGCAAUACGGGUCGCAGCUGCUAAAUUCUGGAUUGGGGUUCGAUAUACCUGAGUCGGCGGGAAGAGUUGACGUCGACUGGCGUCGGGAACUCGUUGCCGCGUGCGCUCGUCGAGUGCUCGCUGAAGAUUCUCCAGGCGAGCGCGUUCGGCCAAAUUGGCCAAACGUGCCUCCUCCAAGGCGCGAGCCUCGGGGGUUUCUCCUGCGAUGGGAGUAUGCAGGGCAUCCAUGUUCCUGCGGCGAAGUUCCUCUCUUUGCAGAGAGUCGAGUGGCUCGGGCUGGUACUCUUCGUGGUCUCGUGCGGGGUCACCUCCGUCGCCUGCCCCACCAUCACGGGCGAAGCCAGGGGGGCUGCGAGGCCCGUUGACCAUCAGGAUUUCCGCCGCUGGAUCACUGCUAUCACAUUCGGAUGCAGUCUCUACGGAGCCAGUCGACAGAUCGAACAGGCCGUAGAGAGAUUCGUCGGGCUCGAUUGCCGCAACUUGGGUGGUGGCCGUCUGGCGAGCCACCGCGUGUCUCACCCACCGCUAAAGCCUCGACCGACCCGAGCGCUUGCGCUGGCGGGAGACCGGGAGGGUGGUCGAUAGGGGAGUCGACCGAUAUGGGGUCGAUGGUUGCCGCAGCAAAACGCCGCGGACACAUGCGCGAAAAUGCGUCGCACCGCGGACGGGGAGCGCAUCGACGUCGAGUGGAGCCUCUUGGAGCCAGGCGGAGUCGUCGGCUACGAAGGUGAGAGCACCGAGACGAAUCUCUCGACCCUCGACCAAAACUCCAGCAGCUACCAUGAUGAAAGUACUCGGAAGAAUCGCAACUUCUCCACAAAAUCGCUAAAACACCUGCCCCACGGCGGGCGCCAACUGUCGUGGAUCUAAGUCUGACAGUAGAGUGGGGGGUAAGUACGGAGAGGCAAGGUCCUAGCUAUGGAGAGGUUGUAAGCACAAGAGAUGUACGAGUUCAGGCCCUUCUCGGAGGAAGUAAAAGCCCUACGUCUCGGAGCCCGGAGGCGGUCGAGUGGAUUAUGUGUAUAUGGAUUACAGGGUGCCGAACCCUUCUGCCUGUGGAGGGGGGUGGCUUAUAUAGAGUGCGCCAGGACCCCAACCAACCCACGUAAUGAAGGGUUUAAGGUACAUUAAGUCCGGGGCGUUUCUGGUAACGCCCCACAUAAAGUGUCUUUACUAUCAUAAAGUCUACUUAAUUAUAGACCGUUGCAGUGCAGGGUGCCUCUUGACCUUCUGGUGGUCGAGUGAGUCUUCGUGGUCGAGUCCUUCAGGUCAGUCGAGUGAGUCCCUCGUAGGUCGACUGGAAGGUGAUCUCUUCUAAGGGUGUCCCUGGGCAGGGUACUUAGAUCAGGUCUGUGACCCUACCCUAGGUACAUGACUCCAUCACUAGGCUCACAAAAUUUCCUGCGAUAUGAGAUUCCCGCCCUAAAAUAUGUUAGAUCAGCCAACAUAAUCAGACCUUGAACAAACACAGAUUUAUUAUUAAAUGAAAUGUGGCUCCAUGCUAGUUAACAUGUAUAAUCAUGGUUUGGCAGUCUGAAAUUCAGGAAGCAAUUUAUAUGGUCUCUGUUUGAUGAAGAAAUAUUAUAUGAAAAUAUGGGUAUUUUCCCCUUUCUUUCUUUGAUGCAUUCUAAACCCUCGAACUAUGUCUACUACCACAUCAGGCAUCCCGAUCAAGUAUCCUAGCUAGUUUGUCUAGUACCAAUUGUACGUUAGUUCGACCCUUGCAGAAAUGAAUUGCCUAGGAAUACAUGUCAUAUUUAUUCUAGAUAGUAAAUAUAUCCAAAUGAUUUAGCAUGGUUAUAUUGCAUUCGAAUCAUCUUUCCAUUCACAUAUUCGAGAAAUUUCAUCUCCCCUGGCAGAAUUUAUACCUGACCAAAUUAUUAUUGCAAGUUUAGUGAUGAUAUUAAUUAAGUGAAGUGUACAAAUGACUAUGCAGCGUACAGUUCUCUUCCUGCUAGUCAAAUGAUAUUAUUAAUGCAUACUCAUUAGAUUAGCUCGGGAGCAAAUAUUUUAAGUACGGAUGUGUGACGUCUUGUGCUCAAACUGAUUCCUAUAUGUUUGGUGUCAUCUUUCCAGCACAUAAACCUCGAUCAGCAAGAAGCACGAGCACCGGAGGCAAGCGCUACAACUUUUAUGUUCUCUGCGUUCAAGAUAGCACAACACUAGAAUUAAAUGUUCAUGCCAUGUUAUGUAUUGCAUGUCUCGUGUGUAUCUUCUGCUGCUCGAUAUUGAUAAUGUACUCAGAAUUAGUGAGUGAGAUGGUCCAGAGUGACAUGUACUAAAAUAUUUGUGCUUGAGAUGGUUUCACAUGAACUCAGAUCUUUAUGCCUGAGAUGGUCUAACUAGACGUGUGCUCAACUAUUUAUGUGUGGGGUGGUCCAGUUUCACAUGUACUCAGAUCUUCAUGCCUGGGAUGGUCUAACUUGACGUGUGCUCAACUAUUUGUGUCUGGGAUUGGUUCAGUUUGACAUAUACUUGAAUGAGAUGGCUUAAAUUUCACAUGUUUACAAAUAUUGUGAUGGAUAUUGGCAAAAUUUAGGGGCCAACAUGUUCAAUUUUUGCUUGUAGAAGCCACUAUUUGUACUCAGUAUACAUGCAACAGAUAUGUGCAAAGAUGGGGCCUCAGCGUUGAGAGGAUUUGAAAAUUAGUCUUAUUUAUUGAGGACAAAAUGAUUGAAUAUGAGAAAGUUGAGGUGAUUAUUGUAAAAAAUGUGUUUUAUAUCUACAUAUUAGCAGGGGGGUUCCAUAAAAUGUCCAUGAAGUGGACUGGGAUGUCUCCACUAGAAUAUGGGCCAUCCAUCUUCCAUCUGAUGGUCCAGGAUGGAUUUUUCUAUUUUUCUAUCACAAGGCUGUUUUCUAUUGUAGUUGUCCCCAGAAGAUACAAGGCAAAAUACGACGUUUGCAUGUUGUUUGGUUGACUAUAUAUGGCGUCUCUGCAUUGUGGAAGCAAUUUCCAGUUGAUGUUUGGUUGCACAUAUGCAUGGCGAUUAGGAGUUAACAACUACACUUGAACAUAGAGAUUACACUAGAAUGCACGCAUGACAACACACACACACAUUUACAUGAACAACACACGCAUACGUGCCAGCACACCCACACGUUCGCAAAGAAGCGCUCGCAAUGAACAGCACACAGCGUGACAACACUCUCAUAAGUUCGAAGCACCGGUGUACCGUACACUGGGGAAAUUAGAAGGAACUACUGAGAUGUAUACAUAUUUGUCUACGGCCAUUGAAAUAGAAUACGUACAACACGGAAGUCGAGUGUAAGGGACAACUGAAGCUACUCGUCAAAGGAAACUCACAUUGUGAAUUGUGCUUGAUGAAUUUAUCAAAAUUUAGCUUCAAGCAUAAAGACAAAAUUGAACAUCUACAUUCAAUGAAACCACAAACCAAUCGUCUGAAUGGAACCACAAUGUCACCUUGCAUCCUUUUUAUGUACAACUUAUCUCCAAUCGAAGAACAGUUGUAUAGAUUAGAAGAGACUAGUGAACGGGAUUAGAGGUGAAAAAGAUUAAGUGGGUGACAUGCAUAUUACAGUACACUGGUCAUAUGUAGAUCUACUCAUCGAUGAUUCACAACACGAAAGUCGUGUCACAACAAGGUGAAGCUACUCAUUAAAGGAAACUUCAAGCGGCCGACCGUGUGGCACGAAUUUAUCGAAAUUCUUCUAAAAAGGAUCCAAAUAUGAACACCAAAUUCAAGCAUAUACAGUGAACGAAACACGAUCUAAUCAUCUGAAUGGAAUCAGAAUAUUGUGGUACAUCUUUUUCGUGUACAACUUAUCUCGAAUUGAAGCACGGUUGUGCAAAAAAUGAGAGACUAAGUGAAGGAGAUUAAGGAGGUGAUUACCACAAACCAUGUGCAAACACAUAAUGAUAGAGUCACCCACGUGCGCUCCACGACUGUAUGAGUAAGCCGCCUGUUGAGCCACCGAUGUCUGAAGAAGCUCUCCAAUCCUUCGUAUUUCUAUCACGGCUGGAGACUCGCCUACAACUGGGAGAGCUGCCAAUCGCAUAGCAGCAGCAAUCAUAUUAUCCAGGGGGUUAGAAUAAUGACCCGGCGGUGUCGGAACAUGUUGAGGCGGAGUCAAAUUCAAACGAGGUGGGUCUACAGCACGUGGUUGAACCGGCGCUCCGGUCACGGGUGCCUCAGCAACACGGUUUACCACGGGCGGGUCACUGGUUCCUGCCCUAGGUGUAUUGAAGAGGUUCCUAGCCUCAAACUCUGUGGGUAGACGGGUCUGAUGCCUCCUCCUCAUAAUGGCGUUUGAAGCGUUCUGUUCCAAGGUAAGCCGGAACAACUCUGCCUGAAUCCGUUGUGUCUCGGCGUCCAAAGCAGCUCGCUCCGUUGCCAUCCUAGCAUUCUCAGCAUUAAAUUCCUCCUUGGCUUGAGCCACCUCAUCUCGCAAUUUCGCCACAUCCACCUUAUGUUGUGCUUGAUUCUCUGGUGUCACCUCUGCAGUCAAUAAGGUCGCCAAAGCCUCCAAGAGCUCGGAUAACACUUGAGCCGGCGGGCGCGCAGAGCCGCUAGCCCCAGUCGUCGCCGCGGAUGUUGAACUGGAGGUCAUAGCCGCAACAGUCGUCGAGUUGAGCACUGGUUGUGUGCCGUCCAUGAAGAUUGCAACUCUGUUCAGCGGCUCGUAGGGGUCCAGAAUACUGUCACCAUCGAAACAGCCCCCAAGCCCACCAUCUUGCGAUGAUAUAUGGAAUCGGUCUCGUCGGUUGAGGACUCAUCACCAAAAUAGAUGACCGCCUCUCCACCGGACGCAGAUCCUUCCUCAAGAUCCACUCCUUGAGUAAAACCCACAAAAACAUGCUUUACGGCGGCUUGAACCUUGGCGGGUCGUGCACGCUGAGCCGUCUCGACGAUGUCGGUGCAGAUGUCCAGCUCAGGCUCCAACUCACCGAUCUUGUCGAUGAAGACGUGGGUUCCACCAAAGGGGACCCGGUACCCGUACUCGAUUGAGCCGGCCUCGGGGCCCCAGACAGUGUCGUCGAUUUAGAGCUUACCGCGGCGGCUUUUAGUCAUCUGGCCGACGGCGUAUCCCUUGAUCCCUGCGAAGCUGCCUUUCAAGAACUCGAAACCACCGUGUGUUGGCCCCACGGUGGGCGCCAACUGUCGUGGACUUAACACGGCAGAUGCCCUAGAGAAAGGACUUACGUGUGGAGCCAUUGCAGCUAGGUCAGCUUGAAGGGAUUAAACGGGACAAAGGACACAGAGAGUUUACCCACGUUCGGCCCCUCUUAACGAGGUAAAAACCUACUCAUGCUUUAGGUUGUAUUUCUUGGGUUCCGAUUACCAGGGAGCGAAUACGCUUGACCUAGUUCUCGAUGAGUUGUUUCUUGAGUUAACCCGCUGCCGGGUCACCCCUUUAUAUACAGGUAGAUGCCCGGCGGCUUGCAGAGUCCUGGCCGGCUCAUACUGAUCGAAUCUCGGGCAAGUAACAUACCGAUGGACAAAGGGAAUUACAUAUGUUGUCAUAACGGUCCGACCGAUAAAGAUCUUCGUAGAAUAUGUAGGAGCCAAUAUGGGCAUCCAGAUUCCGCUAUCGGUUAUUGACCGGAGAGGUGUCUCGGUCAUGUCUACAUAGUUCUCGAACCCGUAGGGUCCGCACGCUUAACGUUCGUUGACGAUAUAGUGUUAUAUGAGUUAUAUGUUUUGGUGACGGAAUGUUGUUCGGAGUCCCGGAUGAGAUCACAGACAUUACAAGGAGUCUCAAAAUGAUCGAGAGGUAAAGAUUGAUAUAUAGGAUGAUGGUAUUUAGACACCAAAAGUGUUUUGAGACGUAUCGGAAAGGACCCGUGUCACCGCAAGGGGUUCCAGGCACCCCCCCCCCCUCCCGGGCAAGUUAUGGGCCAAAGGAGGGGACCGACCAGCCCACAAGGGGGCUGGUGCGCCCCCUUCCUUGUUUGGCCAGCCCUAGAGAAGGAAAAGGGAGAGGGCUAGCCCCUCCUGCCUUUCCCUCUCAUGGGAAAAAGGAAAGGGGGGCGCCGGCCACCCUCCCAUGCGUUUCCCGCACUCCAAAUAAGGAAAUGGGGCGCGGCUUGGGAGGGACCCCAAGUAGGAUUCCUCCUACUUGGGUGCCUCCUUUGGUUGCUCCUAGCACACAACAGAUAAUUGCCUAGCCGUGUGCGGCGCUUCCUCCAUCGUUUACACCCCCGGUCAUAUUUUUAUAGUGUUUAUGCGAAGCCCUACGGAGAUCACUUCACCAUCACUGUCACCAUGCCAUCAUGCUGCUGGAACUCAUUGAUGUCUGCUAGACUACAUCGGUAUUUCCUCAAAGAGAAAGGGAUGAUGCAGCACAGCGACGGUAGAUAUUUCCUCAGUGAUGAGACCAAGAUUAUCGAACCAAUAGAAGAACCAAACAACACUACGUAAACAACACCUGCACACAAAUAACAAAUUGCAAAGUUGCAGAUACAUUUUUGAAAUUAUGAACAACAUUCAAAAUUUACAAACAUUUUAUGAAAAGUGAAGAAAUUUAAAAAAUCCUGAACAUUUUUUAUAUUUGCGAACAAAAACUGAAAGCAGGAAAUGGUACUAAAGUUCUGAACAAUAUUGAGAAAAUGCAAACAUUUUUCAAAGUUUCAGAAUAUUUCUUGAAUUUAUGAAAAAAGAAGAACAUGAAUAUUUUUGAAAUUAUUAACAAAAUUUAGUAACGGAGAACAAUUUAAAAAUCCCAAGCAUAUUUCGAUCACACGAACAUUUUUUAAAUACGUGAAUAUUGGAAAACGCUAACAUUUUUAUAAACCAAACAAAAAACAGGCUAGUUGUCCCCUCCCGCGCAUUCAUAUUGGGCCGGUCCAUUAGCGGACGGGGACAACCAGCUUGUUUCUUUCAUUUCGUUUAUUUUAUUUUUGCAACUUUAAAAUAAUUCGAGACUUCAAAAAAGUUAUAAACUUUAAAAAAUGAAUUUUCGAAAAAUGAUCCCGAAACCAUUAAAAUUGUAAAAAAAAUAUUCGCGUAUUGCAAUAUAUUCCACAAUUUGAAAAAAAUGCGAAUUAUAAACAUGCUCACCAUUUUUUGCAAAUGUUCGCAAAAAAAGAUAGUGAAUUUCAAAAAUAAUGUUCAUGGAUUCAAAAAAUUCUCACAGGGUCAAAAAAAAUUCCCGUUUUGAAAAAUUAUUCAUCGAUUCAAUAAAGUGUCAUCGGUACAGAAAAAUGCACAUAAUUGCAAAAAACAUAAGUUCGCAAAAUUUUCAUUAUUUAAAAAUAUUUUUCAAUUCAAGAAAUGUUCACAGCUUCAUAAAAAAAUGUUUGCAAUUUCGAUAAAUGGUCAUGAAUUUGAAAAAUAUUGACAAUUUGAAAAUUUUGUUUAUGUAUUUCAAAAAAAAGUUCACCAAUUUUAAAAGAUGUUUGCAACAUGAAAAAGCAAAAUAAAAGAGAAAACUAAAAAGAGAAAAGCGGAAGAAAACACUGGAAGAAUCAAAAUCUUGUUCAAGGAAGGUUCAAGAACCUUCCCAAAACCGCUAUGGGGAAGAACUCGGAAAAGGCCAGCCCAGAAGAGGACCACACGCACGAAGUGUGAACGAAGCGACCUACGCGCGGAAUAGGAUUCGCCAUCUGUUGCAACAAACGACGGAUAGGAUUUCCCAGGGAGUUCCUAUGUGCCGCACUCUUUGCGGCACGACUGGACUGACCAAGGGGUGUAUUGUAGGUGGUAGCCUACCAUGUAGCAGGAUGACUACUUAAGCGGCUGUUUUUCUAGUUUUUGGUUCUAUUUGGUGUACGGAACAUCAUGAUUAUUUUUCAAAUUUUGUUAACAUUUUUUGAAAAAUUGUGAUUCUUUUAUUUUCAAAAUCUGAGCAAUAUUUGAAAAAUUAUUAGUUUCCCAUAUAUUUUUGAACAUUUUUUAUGGCUCGAAAAAAUUUCAUUUUUUCUGACAAAGUAGGUAUUCAUUUCAAAAAUAUAGUACUAAUUUUAAAACUUGGUUUCUUAUCAUAAGAAAACAAUUUUAAAAUUAUGAACAUCCUUAGAAAUUUGAACAUUUUAAAAAACUAGUAAUUAAAUUUAAAUCUCCAGAACAAAUUUUAAAUUCUACAUAUUUUUUGAUUUUUUGAAAUUUUAAUAAAAUUCUUAAUUUCCAAAUAAAUUAUGAAAUAAGAGUGAGUAUAGUAACUUUUGAACGAUUUUUAGAGAACACAAACAUUUUAGAAAUUACAGUGUUUCUAAUAGUGAACCAUUUCUAAUUUUUAGGAAAACAUAGAAAAAUAAAAAGAAUAUAAAAAUAUAAAAAAAGGAAGUAAAAAGUGUAAAGAAAGCCGAAAAGGCCAAUAAAGAAAACUAAUAGAAAAAGAAGAACCCAAACAAAACAUCUAGAAGGUUCUAAAACCCUAAAACAAGAUCUAAAAUAUUCACAUAACCAGAAUACCUAUACAACAUAACGGGCUAAAAAUUGGGCCGGCCCAGUGACUCGCUGUCAUCAUUAUGUGUGUGCAACUAGUGGACAUUUUGACAAUUAAUUCCUCAAAUAAGAAGAACAAAGACACACGAACGUACAUUUACUUCUCAAUCCAAAUGUGCUGUCAAGCACUUUUGAAUUUUGGACAUUUGGGCCCGCGCAUGUCUUUGGCAAACCCAGUCUGUUAAAGUAUUUUUAAUUAAAAUGCUUAUAGCAAUAAAUUAUUAGUUAGAUAAUAGGGUAGCCAAAAUUAUGAACGCAAAAGACUAUAAUCAAAUGGAAAAUUGCAGAAAAAAUAAUAUGCCUCAAAUUUCUGGCAUGAAUAUGGAUAACCAGAUUACUAGAAUAUUCGCCAAAAUUCUGGCUCCGCUCGUACGCCGAAAAGUCAGGGACAUCGUCAGCCACCCUUGCUCCCGAAUCGUUUUUCCUCUACGUCGCACUCUCCCCUGAAACAGAAGCUGCGGAGUGGAUCACAUUUUCUCUGCCGUGUCGGCGGCGGGGACAAGAAGAUGGCGCGACAGUUGCACAAGGCGGCGAUGGCAGAUGGAUAACGACUGGAUGACAUGUAGGCUCAUCAAGCCUCUCGCGCGCCUCUCAAGCUUGUGCAUCUCUCCACAGGGCGAGCAGGUUUGCACUUCCUCGAUCUGUACCUCAAGCAAUGAGGCCGCGCGGAUCGUGGGUUCCGCCGGCGGUGGCUUAAGGCUCGGGGUAGCAAAGGCUAUAGGGGCACGCAUCGACUACAGUAGCGCGACGGGGCGGUGUUGACUGAGGGGCCAGCAAACCAAGGGGCGCGUGCUGGUCUGAAACUACGUCAUGCUUUCUCUCCAGCGACAACCUUCUAUCUCCACCUCAGCCUGCUCCUCUCCAAGUAUUGUGCGGUGGUCUAUGAUGUGAAAUUAUUCGGUUAAAAUCCUUCAUGGUCAAUGCAGGAACCUUUUUUUAUGCUUAAAUAAUUUUACUAGUACGUGUAUGGCUGGUUAAAAAGGCCACCACAAACCCUAUCCAUCACUAAUCUCUCAAACCAAACACUUGAAUGGCGAUGUGCAACCAUCUCUCAUCCUUAGAACCAAACAAAAUAUGGGCUAACCUCACCAACCCAACCAAACAAAAUAAAUGGCUAUCGGUAGCUACCUGGCUGGGGAUGCCCAUAACCACCCUAGCACGUCCAUUGAGAUAUAUCAUUUCAGUGAGGCAUUGACUAGUCGGCACCUUGCCGGUUUUUCCCAUGUUUUAUGUUGGCACCCAGCCUAGAACUGUUUGGGAGCCGAUCUCGCCCCCGCGCCGCUCUCCCAGGAGCGGCUCGGGCGGACCUGCACGUCGCCGCGGCCGGCUCCCUCCCGCCUCUUCCCCUACCUCGCCACCGCCAUAGGGCGCCGAGGGCAAAAGCCCGCACGGCGGCGGCGGCGGUGCUGUCUUCUCUCGCGCACCUCGACGGAUCUUGAUCGGUGGCAGCUGAUGCGUGUACGUCGGCGGUGCAGGCCUAGGAGCAGGGCGUGGUCCUGUGCCUUACCUCGCAUGCCGGGGUCACCUUCAACGAUGCUGGAGGCUGGCAGCUGCGGCUGGGAGUAGCGACCGGUUCUCGCGGCGACCGGAUGCCGGGGCGGCGCCCCCGGAGCUUGGCGGUGUUCCUGCUCGGCACUCGGCGAGCGGUGGCGGGGCGUGGGGCGCGCNNNNNNNNNNNNNNNNNNNNNNNNNNNNNNNNNNNNNNNNNNNNNNNNNNNNNNNNNNNNNNNNNNNNNNNNNNNNNNNNNNNNNNNNNNNNNNNNNNNNNNNNNNNNNNNNNNNNNNNNNNNNNNNNNNNNNNNNNNNNNNNNNNNNNNNNNNNNNNNNNNNNNNNNNNNNNNNNNNNNNNNNNNNNNNNNNNNNNNNNNNNNNNNNNNNNNNNNNNNNNNNNNNNNNNNNNNNNNNNNNNNNNNNNNNNNNNNNNNNNNNNNNNNNNNNNNNNNNNNNNNNNNNNNNNNNNNNNNNNNNNNNNNNNNNNNNNNNNNNNNNNNNNNNNNNNNNNNNNNNNNNNNNNNNNNNNNNNNNNNNNNNNNNNNNNNNNNNNNNNNNNNNNNNNNNNNNNNNNNNNNNNNNNNCUAGUCUGCCGGAGAUCUAGGGGCAUCAUCGUCUCCGACUCAAUCUGCUUCGAUUUGUGUUAGAUCCGAUACAGGGAGAUAGUCGUCAUCUCCCGAUGUUGGCUACAUGGAUCUGGUGGCGACGGCUGGACCCUUGGUCUAGUCUUCGACAGAGAAGGCGGCGGUCCGAACACAAGAAGCGGAUGGAGUUCUUCGAACAGAUCUGGAUGAAAACCUGCUCUUGGCUAGAUGCCAAAGCCGGCGAUGGCGGCGCUCUACGGUGUCGUUUCCUUCUUGAAGGCAUCGCCGUGGAGAAGUCCUAGACUAUGAUCUGCUACCUCUAGGGAAACCCUAAAUUGAUAGAUCAGAAGACGGCGGCACAUUUGUGUCGUUUCCCCCUUGGGGGCGUCUUUCUUGGAGGUGUACGCGGGCUCGAGGGACCGGCGGACGACGUGUUUGGUGGAGCGGUGCUUCAUCAUGCACAUUGAUGGUGACAGAUCUUGAUGGCUUGGUGCUCUGGAGAUUAGGCGUCUGAUAUGCGAUGAUGGACUCGUGCAGGAGGGUGACGCUGUCUGGCGUCGUGGUGGCGUCGACGACAGCUAAAACGGGCAAUGUAGAUGCAGUAGUACAUCACUGAAGAUGGAUUGGUAGCAGGUGACUGCAGCGGCUUCAUACCCGGCAAGCGUCCGGGUUGAGGAGUGCGCCGGACUGGUGGUGUCCCAUACCCGAUAGGCGUCCUGGUUGGGACCUUAGGUCUUAGAUGUUAGGUUUGGUUGCGAGAUCUGUUUGGUAUUAGGCUCAGACUAUCAGCAUCCCUUCAUCAACUGGAUGGGAGUAGCGACAGAUGUUGCUUAGACGGUGCCUUUAGUCUUACUAUUGUAUGACUUUGUAAGGUCUUAUGUCAAUAAUUAAUAAAGUGACUGCAUACAUCAUCCAGAUGCAGAGGCCUGGGGUCCUCCUCCAUUUUUUAAAAAAGAAAAUCAGUGUGAAUGUCAAGUGGGGAGGGAAGGGCGGUACUGUGGCUCAAUGACUCUUGAGAUGUAUCAUUUUGCUUAGUGCUCCUAGUAGUGACUGAUCGCCAUAAUAAUACCGUCAAGCUCCGUGGACUAGUCUCAUCUUGUUUGAUGGUCCUAGCUAGUAAAGAAUGUUGAGCUCUGUCAUCAAGUAUUCAAGUUUAGCUGGCCUACCGUGAUGUGCAUGCUAACUAAUCUUGACUUGUGUGGAGAGAAAAAGAACAGCAAGCUACUAAUAACUUCAUUGUAGAUAAGAAAAUUAGGUGACCAUCUCCAUCCUGGAUGUCCGUGGCGCACGACGGCGAGGAGAAUUAUUUGUACAAUAUCAACGUGCAGCUACGAAGUCCUCGCUUGCACACGUUAUCCUUGCUGCAUGUUGGUCUCUGAAUUAACAAAGUCUAUGCAACUCGUAUGCCAUCUGAUUCUACGUGAAGAUUUAUAAGAAUUUUUCCCGUUUGAUUGAUUUAUUUUUAUUUUUUCCAUUUUGAGUUUCUUUUGAUUUUAUCCACACCCGUGCAACAAGUCGCCUAACGUGAGCAACUGAAGUUGCAUGUCCGUGUACUGACGCACAACUGCAUGUCAAGUGGUCACGCGCAACUACGGUUGCACGCCGAACUGCUUGUCAUUUUUAAAAUACACAGUGAUAUUUUUUAAACACACAUUGAACAUUUUUCAAAAACAUGUCAAAUUUUUUUCUAAAUACAAGGUGGAUAUUUUUUUAAAACGUGUUGAUCAUUUCCUAAAGUACACGCCGACAUUUUUAAAAUACAUUGUGAAAACGUUUUGAACACACUUCUUUUAAGCGCGUCGAAGAUACUCUGAAUGCAUGAUGAACAUUUUUAAAAUUUAUUGAACAUUUCGUUUGAUAUAUAUUUAAUUCUUUUACAAACAUAACGAUCAUUUUUAACACAUGAUUAUUAUUUUUCUUUCCCAAAAAAUACAAACAAUUUAUGAUACAUAAAUGAUGAAAUUAUAGUACACAAUGAAUAAACUUUUAAUCCAUGAUGAUUCUUUUUUUUAAAUGCAUGACAGGUAUAUUUUAGUACACUAUGUUUUUUAAAGAUAUAGAAUGCACAUUUUUAAUACAUGGUGAAUAUUUUCUAAAUAUAUGUUGAACAUUUUUAAUACAGAAUGAACACUUAUCAAUAUAUGGUUAAAUGUAUUGAAUUACACUACGGAUAAUUUUGAAAACACAACGAAUUUUCUAAAUACACAAGGAACAAUUUUUGAGUUCUCUGAUGAACAUUUUUUUAAUACAGGAUGAACACUUUUUAAAAAGUGUUCACACAAUUAAAAAAAAAUCCAUGUGUAACUGUAAAAAGUGUUUACACAUUAUGAACAUUCCAUAUUACACGAUAAACAUGUUUGAAUUACGCUAUGAAGAAAAAUUGGUGCACAACAGAAAAGAUUUCAAAUUACAAAUUUUAAAAAAUAUGUGAUGAUUUUUUAGCAUGAUGAAUAUUUUUGAACACAUGUAUAGUAUUUUUCUAAUACACAUGAACUUUUUCUAUAUCCCAGAACAUUUUUUUGAUCUACGUGAACACAUUAAUAUUUUUAGCUCGUGUAUUUUACCCAAAAGAAUAGCAAAGUGAAAAUAAAAUUUAAAGAUAACCGAAAAGAAAAGAAAUAAAAUAAAAUAAUGGGUGUUUACUCCACUAGCAUAUUUUCAAAGUGGGUAGCUAACUUUUUCUGGUUUAGAGGAAGUAUAUGUUGCUGGCCCUUUUUACUCAUGAAAAAGAAAUCCACAAAAUAGGAGGGUCCACCGUACUAUACAUCCCGGCAUGUGCAGCCCACGAGAGAUGUUCACUCACGGCUUCGUCAACUCUCCGUUACCAAACAGUAAAUGCCACCUCCAACAUCGCGCUCUUUCACUGGUCCACGUAGGAUGAGUAUGCGAGCUCGUCCACCAUAUCGCCUCUCUGCGUGCAGCUAUAUGUCUCUUCAAGUUAGCUACAAAAGAUAGACAAAAGGUAGAUACAAGUGGAUAACAGAACACAAGGAUUGAAAAAACUUGGGUGGACAAAAGGGAUUCUAAUAAUCCAUUGCAAUGGCAAUUGCACAACUGGGUUUUUUCUUAAAAAAUGAGGUUAAAUCCGUGGCCUCAGAGUCGCCUUUAUUAUAUUAUUCAACAAAGUUUAACAAAACAAAUACAUUGAUCAACUCAAAGCCAUCUUCCUGACAACCUAUGUCGCUACACCUAUAAACUUGACGAUGUGGCAUGACCUUGCACCAACACACUCUAUCUCAACCGAUGGCCUCGCCAAGCCGUCCCACGAUGAGCCGAGAACACCAACCUGUCAAGCAGAUCUUCAGCGUGCACCGCAUUCACACGCUCUAGAAUCUGCCAUCGCCAUCUUCAGUCGUCCCAUCUUCAGGAGGGAUCAACGCAAUGAUUUGUCAGGCCCAACUACCAUAGACGCCACCAUGAUGCCAAACAGCGUAACCACCCUGCGCCCAUGUCCAUCCACUAGCGCUGAUGCGGCUGAACUGCAGGCCGCUGAUAGAAUUGUAGGGACACGUAUCUAGCUCGAGCUCAAAUGAGCUCGGAUGAACAGUAAAAUAAAAAAUUCCGAAUAUUUUUGGUGGUAAACUUUGACAAAUGUUGUAGGUGCUUGCAAAUUUUCAUUAUUAGAUCACAUUUGUGGAAGCUGUGACAAAAAACAAAAUUGAUGCUCCAAAAAUUCAACGUCCGAAGCAUUUUGGAGCACUGAUUUUGUUUUUGUGUCACGCAUUUCAUGAAUGUGAUCUCAUGAUGAAAAUCUGCAGACACUUAGGAUAUUUGUCAAAGUUUACCACAAUAAAAAAAGAUUUUUUUGAAUUAUUUUUCAUUACUUAUUUUACUAUUCAUCCGAGCUCAUUUGAGCUCCAGCUCCAAAGGGUACUUUUGGUAUUGUAGCAUGUGCCUCUUGGCACAUGGUCAAUGUAUAUGAUGCUCAAGGUUUGUAGCUUGCCAAUGAGGAUGCUCUGCAACACGGGCAUAGCCAGCGGCUCACCAGGCGGCGGAGCUACGCUGGACGUGGUAUCUCUAGGGAGCACACUACGGCAACCGUGGCGGCGUGGAAGCGAGGCAUGAAUUUUUGCGGUAACUGACAAAGAAAUAAUAACGUGUGAGGGCAUGUACAACGGUACUGACUCAGCUGUCUAUAAGAGCUGCCAAUUCAGACUUUUUAUGACGUGGAAGAGAGAGAACGAAGAGAGAGAGAGGAAGCCCGUCGAUAAAAUUGCAGAUCGUGUGUAGCGCUAAAAUUUCGGUCGUUACCGACAGCUUUCUAGCGUUGUAUCGCGGUAGUCUGCAACUAACUCCUCUACCGGUGGAUCUAGCCUUCCGAUCCUCCGUACCGGCCGCCGCGCUGCUUGGAUGGACAUGGAACCACCGCAACUCUGCAAGCCGACGAGCAGCGCAGGUGCUAGACUACGGGUCGUCAAUUAAUCAUAAAUCGAUCAAGCGAUAGUGAUCUAUCUAGCUAGCUUACGUUACGUGAACGUUGUACAUAUCAAAGGAGAUCACUUGUGCGUUCAGAAGCAAUCGAUCUUCACGUAUGCUUGCCAUAAUGGUGUUGUGUUCAUCGUGGAUGACUGGCGGACGCCCGUGUUCAGUGCAGCCGGAGAUGAUUAAGUUUAGAGUAAUUUGUACUAAUUGAUCAGCUUAAUUUAGCAAUUUGUGGUGCUACAGAUAGCCUAAAAGACAACCUAUUGUAAAGGGUGUUUUCAUGGCUGUCUAUAGGUGAUGUGGAGGCUUAGUAUAGACGGCAGGUGUCUAAACCAAUGCACAUGCCCUGAUGGCUCGUUCUUUUCACCGGCUCGACAUCUGAAAAAGAGGUCAAAGGGGAAAGUCACCUUUCUCAGCCUGAGCUCAGGUGAACAAUAAAUCAAUUUUUAAAAAAAAAUCAAAAGAACUGUUUUUUAUGAUAAACAUUGACAAAUGUUUUAAGAGCUUGCAAAAUUUCAUCAUGGAGUCACAUUUGUGGAACUCGUGUUAGCAUAUCAAUUUUUUUGCCAUGCCUUUCAGGAAUGUGAUUCCAUGAUGAAAUUUUGCAAGCUCUUAGAACAUUUGUCAUAAAAAUAUUUUUUAAUUGUUUUCAUUUUUACUAUUCAUCUAAGUUCAUUUGAGCUCGGGCUGUACUCGGUGUCCGGUCAAAGGUUCUUUUUUUAGACAGAGAAAAUACUCUGGAAUUAAUAUCUAAGUUUUUAAUGGUAGCCAAACACCUCAUAGUAAAUUAAACUGUAGUAGUAAUUUUUUUAAAUACUUUGCUGUCAAACAGGUCCUAAAUCUAGCACAUUAAAAGAGGUAGCCAUUCACUGGUCGGCACCUGGCUGUUUAUUUUCUUAAAUGUUUUCUGUUGACAUAGCAAUGUGGUUGUCAAGAAGGGGGAGGNNNNNNNNNNNNNNNNNNNNNNNNNNNNNNNNNNNNNNNNNNNNNNNNNNNNNNNNNNNNNNNNNNNNNNNNNNNNNNNNNNNNNNNNNNNNNNNNNNNNNNNNNNNNNNNNNNNNNNNNNNNNNNNNNNNNNNNNNNNNNNNNNNNNNNNNNNNNNNNNNNNNNNNNNNNNNNNNNNNNNNNNNNNNNNNNNNNNNNNNNNNNNNNNNNNNNNNNNNNNNNNNNNNNNNNNNNNNNNNNNNNNNNNNNNNNNNNNNNNNNNNNNNNNNNNNNNNNNNNNNNNNNUGUGACUCACUCUUGAAGUGCUCCUAAUAAUGACUUCAGCUAUAUAAUCAAGUUCCCUGGACUAUUCUCAUCUUGUUUCGUGGUCCUAGCUAUUAAUGACUCUUGAGCUCUAUCAUCAAGUGUUCAAGGUUAGUGGUCCUACCGUGAUCUUCAGUUGUGUCGAGAGAGAAAAGGCAAGCACAUUGCUGAUUAACUUGAUUGUGGAUAAGAUAAUUAGGUGACCGCCUCCAUCGUGGAUGUCUGUGGUGCACCGUGCACGACGGCGAGCAGAAUUAAUUCUAGGAUAGCAACGUGCAGCUACCUCUUUGUCUUAGCUACAAAAGAUACACAAAAGGUAGAUCAAACCGGAUAAAAAGAGAUGAAGUGCGAUUAAAUUAAGGACAUGAUAUAUUGUGAUUCGUCUAGACUAGGAGCAUGUUAAAAAACCUCUCUAGACUAAGUGUAAUAGUAGGUGCAUAUGCGGCUAAACGACAUGAUAUACCAGAGAUGAAGAUGGAAGGUGGCACAACGAAAAUGCUAAACUUGCACGAGCAUGAUUAUAUAUGGGUUUGAUCUACGGAAUGAGCAGGGAUAAAGCUAGAAAAAAUGUUUGAUGGGGUCAUGUAUAUGGCAGUGGGUUCAUCCUUCUAUAAAUGUUAGUGACUAGCACUGAAUUAGGGAAAGAUUUUCGAAAUUCAUUGGGUCAACUGACCCCGAUGCCUAUGAUACAGGAGUAAGCAAAGAGGAUGUAAGAGGGACUAUGUUAAAAUUGUUUUUUUCUCUUUCACUAUGAGUCAAACACCUCAUUCAGGGAAUUCUGUGCGUAAGAAAUUUUCCAUAGAUGUAGCAAUAUUCAUGGCAUAAAAAGAUAAGAAAAUAAAACAGAGUUGCACUCCACAUAACCGUAGAAAUUACACUUCCAUUUUAUUUAUACAUUUAUUCGCUGAAUGGCACGCACCGGCCAUGCACGCACGCACAUAUGUGACAUUAUAUACGGAGUAUAUAAUAUGGGCACACGCAGAAUGAUGGAUGAUCAUAAUAAGUAAGAGGAAGACUACUAGGAGUAAUACAUCCUCUACUUACUGAUCCAUGUGCAAAUCAUUUCGGGCGGGGCACAGGACGAUCUGGUAGUUGGUUCCGGCUGGGCACGUGAAGGUGCUGGUCUGGUCGUCCUUGGCGUAGCUGUAGGCGUCGGGGCACUUGCCCUUGAAGAACCUCGAGUAGUUGGUCGGCGGGCAGUUGUGCUCGAACUGGCCCCGGCAGCAGUAGGUGUCGCCGCCGAACUUGCCGCACGCGCUCGCGCACCCUCCGGGCACCUGCAGCUCCGGCAGGCACUCUCUGGUGAUGUCCACGGCGCAGGUCGCCGCACGGCACGGCGCGCCGCCGACGGGCUGGAAGCUCAUGGGCGUAUUGAAGCCGUCGAUGACCGACAGGUCGAAGAAGUCCUGGCUCCCGCCCUGCCCCAGCGUGUACUCGGCUAGCGUGGCGGGCUGCUCGCCGGACACGCGGCAGGAGAGCGCACCCGCGCAGUCUCCGGUGAUGCAGUGGCCGCGGCCGCUGCCGUCGAAGGUGCACCCUGUGCGCGGCCACACCCUCGCGCCCGCGGUGCCUGCGGGCAUGUUGAGCUGCCACGACUGGCCCGGGUCGAGGCGCGCGCCGCCGCCUGGGAGCGCGCCCGGCCAUAUCGUGUACGAGCACCGGUUCACCACGGUUAUGGUGGUCGCGUUGGCCGCGGCGACGACGGCGAGGACGAGGGCGACGAGGUGGACGACGCGAGAGCACGCCAUGGCUGCUGCCGUUGUUGUUGUUUACGUGAUGCGGCGAUUCUGACUGGUGGUUUGGCGGUGUGCGGCAAUGGAGGUAUUUAUUGCCGCGCGUCCAUAAGCUGCUAUAGGCUGGUUUGGUGGCGUGUCCAAAUCCAGGCCAGCUAGCCUUGACAUUUUCCACGGCUGCAUUUGCAUCAUGCAAAUAAUAUGAUACGUAUUAUAGUGUAAGGUGCUAGAAGGCCAGAAUCAGCGAAUCACUACCAGAAACAAUAGCGUUUAGAAAAAAAAAACGCCACCCAUAACAGACACACGCCAGCCAUCAUUAUGCAAAAUAAAUUGGGUGUCAGUCGGUGGAACCGGUCUUAUGUGCGUGGACAUGUAAGGUUGGUCCGGGUCGCUUCAUCACACAAUACCGCCGAUUCAAAAUAAAACAUUAGUGAUAAGCAGUAUGACUAUCACCGUUCACAACUCUUUGUGUUUUACUCGUGCAUAUCAUCUAUGCAUAGACCUGGCUCAUGAUGCCACUAUUAGGAAAUGUUGCAUGGAAAACAAAAAAAAUUCUACGCACACGCAAUGAUCUAUCGAUGGAGAUGCAUAGCAACAAAGGGGGAGAGUGUGUCUACAUACCCUCGUAGACCAUAAGCGGAAGCGUUUCUCAACGCGAUUGAUGUAGUCGAAUUUCUUCGUGCUUCAACCGAUCAAGUACCGAACGCACGGCACCUCCGCGCUCUAUGCACGUUCAGUUCGGUGACAUCCUUCGCCUUCUUGAUCCAGCAAGACGUCGAGGUAGUAGAUGAGUUCUGUCAGCACGACGGUAUGGUGACGGUGAUGAUGAAGUGAUCUCCGCAGGACUUCGCCUAAGCACUACAAAAUUAUGACCGGGGGUGUAAACGAUGAAGGGGGUGCCGCACACGGCUAACAAUUGAUCUGAUAUGUGCUACGAGCCUCCCUCCCCCUCCCCACACACACACAUAUAUAUAGAUGGGAGGGAGGGAGGAGCAGCCAAAGAAGGCGCCCAAGUAGGAGGAAUCCUACUUGGGGUCCCUCCCAAGCCGCGCCCCUCUUUCCUUAUUUGGAGUGCGGGGAAAGGCAGUGGAGGGUCGCCCCCCCCCCCCUUUCCUUUCUCCCAUGAGAGGGAAAGGCAGGAGGGGCUAGCCCUUCCCCUUUUCGUUCCCUAGGGCUGGCCAAACAAGGGAGGAGGCGCACCAGCCCCCUUACGGGCUGGUCUGUCCCCUCCUUUGGCCCAUAACGCCCAUAACUUGCCCAGGGGGGUGCCCGUAACCCCUUCCGGUGACCCGAUUCCUUUCCGGUACAUUCCGAAACAUUUUUGGUGUCUAAAUAUCAUCGUCCUAUAUAUCAAUCUUUAUCUCUAGACCAUUUCGAGACUCCUCGUCAUGUCCGUGGUCUCAUCCGGGACUCCGACCAACAUUCGGUCAUCAAAACAUGUAACGCAUAUAGUGAUAACACUGUAUCGUCAACGAACGUUAAGCGUGCGGACCCUACGGGUUCGAGAACUAUGUAGUCAUGACCGAGACACCUCUCCCGUAAAUAACCAAUAGCGAAAUCUGGAUGCCCAUAUUGGCUUGUACAUAUUGUACGAAGAUCUUUAUCGGUCAAACCGUUAUGACAACAUACGUAGAUGACGUCCUGUUGUAUGCUGGUUUGGUGGCGUGUCGAAAUCCAGGCCAGCUUGCCUAGUUAGACAUUUUCCACGGCGGCGUUUGCAUCAUGCAAUUAAUAUGAUUAUAAUGUAAGGUGCUAGAAGGCCAGAAUCAGUGAAUCACUACCUGAAACAUUAGCGUUUAGAAAAAAACUACCAGAAACUUUAAAAAAAAAUUAUCACCUCCUUUAUUCACUCACAAGGAUAGUAGCAUCACUUACAAUAGGAGGAAUAACCACAUCCGGGCCGGUGUCCAUCUAGAUGGUUAUAGAAGAAAAUCUAGUUAUCCUAGCCAGCUCAUGAGCUACUUGUUUUCUUUCUCUAUUACAAUCAUCAUAGAUGAUAUGAGUAAAGUGAAGCGACAUAAGAUAACAGUCAUCAAAGAUAGUAGAAUUUACUAAAGAAGAGUAACCAUCAAUUAGGGCAGCAAUAAUCUCUAUACUAUCAGACUUUACUUUGAUCUUACUGCAUCAUACCAUACGUGCAAGGUUAAUUUAUUCCAAACGUCACUCAACUGCCUCCGUCGUGAAUGAGUCAAAGCAAAGAUCAACCAUGUCAUUUGCAGCUACAACUGUCCCCUGGAGCAUGUCGACAUCAAAAGCCGCAUACAUGUUUACCUUUAACGUAGCCAUAUCUUGGUUUCAACAUAGUGUCUGAUCUCACUUUGGCCUUUUAGGACUGUAUGAGAUAAUAUAGUUAGCUGCUAAAUAUCUUACCGCCAUAUUAAUUUGAGCAGCGUGUUGUGUUUCUUCUCCGUGUCUCCAUUUACGACGCUCAUACCACAAGUACUAGACUGUCGUUGAAACAUUAUUUAGUUGACCGGGUCUUAAAACUCCAUGACAAUAGAGUCCAAGUAUUGCACAUGUUAGCGAGCCCUUGACCAGCGAAGGGUGGCCCAUCCGUCAGGGUAGGGCUCAUUGGAAACAUAGCAACUACUUACCUCUUGAGAAAAAAAAUGUUUUCUGUGGAUUAACGGGGCUAUCAUUCAUUAAGGAAUCUGAGAACGCCUGAAUGUCAGGUACGAGCACAUGACAAAUAGAACAUUUUCGAUUGCAAGUUUACUGACGCGAGAACGACAACUUUAGUUGACAGCAUUACAACUUUGUGCUUCAGUUUAUUUUUCACAGAAAAUUGCCGUCUCUGUCCACUAACUUGCCAUCGUGGCAUGCCCAUCUUUUUCUUUUGAGCGGAAUCUGUAUCCUUUAUUAGACGUUCAAAGAUAUGGGAAUACAGAUAAUGUCGGGCAAAGAGGGAAGCCACACAUGGCGCCCGGGAGGGAGAGAUGCAGCAGCCUUAGCUAAGGCAUGAGCCUCCCCAUUGUGUCUCCUAUUCUCGUGAAUGAAUUUAACAUCACUAAAGUUCUUCAGCUGUUGCUUGAUAUCUUACAGGAUUGGGUAGAAACUGCAUGGAGAAUCGUCAGCUAUCCUUGUUACAACUUCGAGACAAUCAGAGGCCACACAUACGGACUGGAUGUGAAGAUCUGUGGCGAGUGCUAGUGCCUCGCUGCAUGCUUGAGCCUCGAGAAUUGCUGGGUCUAGGCGGCCCUCAAAGAUGAUGGCAAAGGCCCCUAGAUAGUUUCCGCGCUUGUCUCGACAGACUAUAGCAGAGGCACCCUUGUCCCCAAUUUUUGACAGGCCGCCAUCUGCAUUUAUCUUGGCGUCAUGAGCAUCCGGCGAAAGCCAUGCGGGCUGCGGUAGCUGCCCCGCUUUUUGUCCUGAAAUUACAUGCUGGUCCUUCGGCGUUGCAUGCAGGCCCCUGGGAAUAGCAUGCAAGUCCCUUGAGUGCGUGUGCAGAUCCUUUGUACGUGCCCCUCUCUCUGGGAUUUGGUCCAGCUCUGCCAUAAAUUUGUUUACAAAGACAUGGGUACUAAGCGGGCUCUGGAACUGGUCAUCAUGAAUAGCUCGGCGUCCCGCCCACCAGAUUGCCCACAUCGUUACGAGCACACGCGCGAGGGCUGCCGUCGGUAGGGUAUCAACCAACCAGAACAUCCACAGCUUGGCGUCCUCCGUCCGGUUGGAGAUGAUUGUAUCUGUGAUCUCCUCAUCCGCAAGUGCCCAUACGCAGCGCGCCAUAUGGAAAUCAAAAAGAGAAUGGUGCCAAGUGUCCACCUCCGCAUGGCAUAGCGAGCAUUCAGCAGAGUCAGCCAUGCUUCUGUGCUUACGUACGGCCCCUGUUGGAAUCGUAGUUUUCGCUAGUCGCCAAGCAAAAACCCGCACCUUUGAGGGAACAUGUGUUCACCAUAACUUAGCCCAUGAACGGCUGUCUGCUUUGGCGUUAGAGUGCCCGUCAUUGUGUUCAAGCCAAUCUGUCUGCUGCUGCUUUGUCGAGGCGAGUAGCCUGUACGCUGAGCUCACUGUGAAAAUCCCCUUAAGGUCAUAAUGCCACGACCAAAAAUCCUCCCGCAUGUUUGUAACACCCCGGAUAUGAUUUACCUAAUAUGUAAUCCAACUCUUGCCGUUUUCGGCGUUAAGUUAUUUUAUUUUCUCGGGUUCGGGUUUUUGUCUCCGUGUGUUGUUGUUGUUGUCAUGCAUCUCAUAUCAUGUCAUCAUGUGCAUUGCAUUUGCAUACGUGUUCAUCUCCUGCAUCCGGGCAUUUUCCCCGUUGUCCGUUUUGCAUUCCGGCGCUCCGUUCUCCUCCGGUGGUCAUUUCUACCUUUCUUUCGUGUGUGGGGAUUAAACAUUUCCGGAUUGGAUCGAGACUUACCAAGCAGCCUUGGUUUACAACCGGUAGACCGCCUGUCAAGUUUCGUACCAUUUGGACUUCGUUUGAUGCUCCAACGGUUAACCGAGGGACCGAAAAGGCCUCGUGUGUGUUGGAGCCCAAUACCCUUCCAAUUUGGCCCAAAACCCACCAAAACCCUCUCCAUCAUCUAGAGCGUUCGAUCACGAUCGCGUGGCCGAAAACUGCACCUCAUUUGGAAUCUCCUAGCUCCUCCUAUGCCUAUUUAAAGACCCCUCCGAAAUUCUCGUUUUCCUCUCCCGAAACCCUAGUCGUCUCCCACCUCUCACCGCCGGACGCGUCCGCUCGGGUUGGACGUGUCCGUUUCGUCCCGCCGCCGCCACGUGGCGGUCUCCUAUUCAUCCACCCGGGUGCCCACUUCGCCAGAUCCGCCGGGCCCGGAGAGCCCAUCGUCGGCCCCCCGACCCAAAGCCACCGCUGCCGAGGCCCGCGCCUCGCUCGGCCGCGCNNNNNNNNNNNNNNNNNNNNNNNNNNNNNNNNNNNNNNNNNNNNNNNNNNNNNNNNNNNNNNNNNNNNNNNNNNNNNNNNNNNNNNNNNNNNNNNNNNNNNNNNNNNNNNNNNNNNNNNNNNNNNNNNNNNNNNNNNNNNNNNNNNNNNNNNNNNNNNNNNNNNNNNNNNNNNNNNNNNNNNNNNNNNNNNNNNNNNNNNNNNNNNNNNNNNNNNNNNNNNNNNNNNNNNNNNNNNNNNNNNNNNNNNNNNNNNNNNNNNNNNNNNNNNNNNNNNNNNNNNNNNNNNNNNNNNNNNNNNNNNNNNNNNNNNNNNNNNNNNNNNNNNNNNNNNNNNNNNNNNNNNNNNNNNNNNNNNNNNNNNNNNNNNNNNNNNNNNNNNNNNNNNNNNNNNNNNNNNNNNNNNNNNNNUGCCGCUAACCGCGUCCGGCACCGCCCCACUCCGGCCUCCUCCUCCACGCCCGCACCCCCUCCGGCCGGUCUCCUUCCUCUCCGGCAAAGCUCUGAUGUCCUCGGCUUCCGCGCAUGAACAGUAACUCGGCGAGAUCCCGAUCUGGAUUUGAGAUCCGAAAUCUCGGGGUUGACUUUUUUGUCCUAAACCCUAAUUAUUUUGCUAUGUUCAUCUGCCGUAACUUUGCAUCCGUAGAUCCGUUUUGGGCAUAUAGCAUAUCAAAAUGUUCACCUCAGAGAGCACAUCAUUUCAUCUCAGUGAAUCAGUUUCAUUUGAGUUCAUCUUGAUGCCCGAAAUGCUGUUGGAAGAGUGCUAUUUGAGUUAAUUGUCAGAUCUGCUGCGCCAAAUAGCUAUUUGUCAUUUUUGCCAUGAUUAUUGUGUGCAUGAUAUGCCCAUGAGCUCUACAUAUGUUUUGUUAUAUGCUUUGCCAUCUCUCCAGAGGUGCAAUCCAUGUAUUUUUGUGAUGUGGGUGGUGACUAGCACAAGCUUGCAAAGUGGUGAAUUUGUUACUGCUGAUUUCAGGGACUUGGCAAUUUCACUAAGUCAUUGGUUUGUCUUUAUUAAUAUGCCAUAUGUUCAUGUUGUUUCCUAGUGAUCCGUGCCUCUUUUGAGGAUGAUCAGUAAGGAUGAGUUGUUAAUAUUGUAGUGCUCUAUCCAUCCAUGUAUUUUUUUGCAAUUAUGGAGCACCCUAGUGUGAGCCAAUCAAGCUCUACUUUUGCUAUUUCGUGAAUCUGGGCAUAUUGUCUACUUGUUAGCGAUUUUGCCGAGGAUGUUGUAGUUGAUCCGUGCAUGCUAUGUUAUUGUUCUUGCCAUGUCUAGCUUGUAUAAUGUGUAUUCUUGAUGGGUAUAUGCUUAGAUUGUCAUGACAUGCUCUGUAGUGAGUGCAUCGAGUUCGUAAACAUGCCUACUUGAUAUCUGAUUUGCAUGCUCUAGUUUUUCACUAAGUCUGUGAUCUGAUUAUGUUUUUGCCAUGUUCACAUGCUUGCAAUUGUAUUUUCUGAUCCCUUUUGGCUCAAGGUCACUAAGGGACUUUUGUUAAGCUCUUUGAGUAGCUCCAUGCCAUGCCUUGCUUAGCCAUGUUAAGUUCCUAUAGCAUCUAGUUUUCAUGCUCCAAAGUGUCCUACCUGAUCUGAAAUUCCAGACAAGUGUUAAUUUCACUAAGUCUGAAAUCUGUUUACCAAUUGCACUUUUGCCAUGCUUGUUUGAACCUGUUAAUGGAUGAAUUGGCCAUAGCUCAGUGUUCAUCUUUUGUUAAGCAUCAUGAAUGGAUCCCUGCCAUGUAUUUUGUUGUCAUGUUUGGGUGCUGUAGCAUGUUUGCCUUGUUGCAUUUAGAUGGCCACUUGCUGUUUAUCGCAGACCGUUGCCAUAUUUGAAUUGCUUGCCAUUUCCAAACCGUGCAUCCGAUUCCGGCAUUCUUUAUAUCGAUUUCAACCGAAAUCACCUCACCUUUCCAGUUGCACACUUGGAUUUCCAAGUUGAGGCCAGGUUCAUUCAUUCCUUGUCAAAUCUUGCAUAUGCAUCACAUAUCGCAUCCUGCAUAGCAUACCAUGUUUGCAUCUUGUUGUUUGAGCUUUGCACGUGGUUGAUUGUGUUCCGUUUACUUGUUUGUCUUGUUUGGGUAGAGCCGGGAGACGAGUUCGCUAACGAGGAGCCCGUUGAGUUUUUUUUCGAGGAUCCGGUCAACUCUGACAACUUUGCAGGCAAGAUGAUCAUACCCUCGAAAUCACUUCUAUCUUUGCUUUGCUAGAUGCUCGUCCUUUUGCUAUGCCUAUGCUAUGAUGCCUACCACUUGCUUAUCAUGCCUCCAAAAUUGCCAUGUCAAGCCUCUAACCCACCAUGUCCUAGAAAACCGUUGACUGGCUAUGUUACCGCUUUGCUCAGCCCCUCUUAUAGCGUUGCUAGUUGUAGGUGAAGAUUGGAGACCGUUCCUUGUUGGAACAUUAUUUUCUUGUUGGGAUAUCAUUAUAUUAUCUUGUUAUCUUAAUGCAUCUAUAUAGUUGGUAAAGGGUGGAAGGCUCGGCCUCUCGCCUAGUGUUUUGUUCCACUCUUGCCGCCCUAGUUUUCGUCAUAUCGAUGUUAUGUUCCCGGAUCUUGCGUUCCUUACGCGGUUGGGUAAUAAUGGGAACCCCUUGACAAAUCGCCUUGAAUAAAACUUCUCCAGCAAUGCCCAACCUUGGUUUUACCGUUUGCUACCUAGCCUCUUUUUCCCUUGGGUUUUCGGAGCCUGAGGGUCAUCUUAUUUAACCCCCCCUCGGGCCAGUGCUCCUCUGAGUGUUGGUCCAAACUAGAGUCCUGUGCAGCGCCCCCUCGGGGAAACUCGAGGUUUGGUUUUAGAUGUAUGGAGCGCUCAUCUGAGUGUGCCCUAAGAACGAGAUAUGUGCAGCUCCUAUCGGGAUUUGUCGGCACAUUCGGGCGGUGUUGCUGGAUUGGUUUUAACUUGUCGGGUUGUCUUCUAGAACCGGGAUACCGAGUCUGAUCGGAACGUCUCAGGAGAAGGUAUAUCCUUCGUUGACCAUGAGAGCUUGUCAUGGGCUAAGUUGGGACUCCCCUGCAGGGAUUUGAACUUUUGAAAGCCGUGCCCACGGUUAUGGGCAGAUGGGAAUUUGUUAAUGUCCGGUUGUAGAUAACUUCAACCUUAACUUAAUUAAAAUGAAUCAACUGUGUGAGUUACCGUGAUGGUCUCUUCUCGGCGGAGUCCGGGAAGCGAACACGGUGUUGGAGUAAUGCUUGCCACAGGUUGUUUUCUAGUUAUUCGAUCGUGCAUUGCCUUCUCUUUUCGCUCUCAUUUGCGAAUAGGUUAGCCAUCAUAUAUGCUAGUCGCUUGCUGCAGCUCCACAUAUUUACCUUGCCUUACCUAUAAGCUUAAAUAGUCUUGAUCGCGAGCGUGCGAGAUUGCUGAGUCCCUGUGGCUCACAGAUUACUUCCAAACCAGAUGCAGGGCCUGAUGACUCCGUUCCAGAUGACGCGCUUGAGCUCAAGUGGGAGUUCGACGAGGACUCACGCCAUUACUAUGUGUCUUUCCCUGAUGAUCAGUAGUGGUGCCCAGUUGGGGCGAUCGGGACCGUGUCGCACGUUGGGUUGAUCUUUUAAUUUUGGCAUCGUAGUCGGGCCAAGAGUGAUUGAAUGAUGUAAUGCUAUUUAUAUACUUUGUUUGACGUGGCGAGUGUAAGACAACUAUGUUCCUUCCCCUUUUAUUAUUUAUAUUACAUGGGAUGUUGUGAAGAUUGCCUAACUUGCGACAUUGCUUUCAAUGCGGUUAUACCUCUAAGUCGUGCUUCGACACGUAGGAGAUAUAGCCGCAUCGAGGGCAUUACAAGUUGGUAAUCAGAGCCUUCCCCGACCUUAGGAGCCCCCACUGCUUGAUCGUUUUUAGCAACCGAGUUGAGUCUAGAAAAAAUGUUUUGAGUCAUUUAGGAAUUAUAUAUUGGAGAGUUUAGGAAUUCUUUUUAUUCCCGAGUCUCUUGAUCGCUCUGGUAAGGCAUCCUGUCGUAGAGUUUUGACUCUUCUCUUCUCAAAUUUCACUAAACUUUUUUUUAGGAUCACGCGGGUAUCUUGGAAUCAUUCCGAUGGUUUUGUGACGAGAACAUUGUUCUUGGUGCCUCCUGUCAUUUAGGGGUUGUGGCAGUGUCCCGGGGAGUUGAGCUCCGAGGUGUUGUCGUCACAAUUUUAUCGUUGCAGUUUUGGAAUACCUGAGUUUAGUAUGCCGACAUCGUAAAUCUCUUUUAUGCAGUUGUUGGUGAGAUAACCUCGACGCCACCCAGUACUGAGGCGGGAGUUCGGGAGUAUUGCCAUAACUUGUAUAACGGAUGCUUUUCGAAGGUUGAGGUAGAUGGUUUCCGAAGUUUUUCUCGGUUAUGUGUUGAAGGAUGGAUACAACUGGAUGUAGGAUUUGCUAGAUUUGGGUGAGAUAUUAUGCUUCCCCUGUAUCCCCAACACGUGAUUGCAUAACCAGAAAGGUUCGGGAGUUUCAUAGGUGGGAAUUCUUGUAGCUCUAGUUCUUCUUCCACAGAUAUUUGGUUUGAGAUUGGGAUUUCUUUCCGAGUAUUCGUUCUUGAUCCGUACCUUGUUGAUUUAUUCCUCUACCUAAAUUCUAAGUGGCUUCUCAAUUUAUGGAUAUGUGACCAUUUCAAGUGGAAUGCAUUCGUUCAUUUUGUUCGGAUGUGAUGACGAUAUGUUGCAAUUUCAUCCUGCUUGAUUCAGCUUCUUUUUAUCUAUCAUUGUGCUAACGGAUGUCACCCUCUUCAGGAUGGCUCCCGCUAAGAGCAGCAAUCAGAAUCAGAAUCAGGAUCCGCCACCAACUCCCCCUCCUCCGGAGGCAUGGCAAGCUGUGAUGGCCGCAACCAAUGCAAACACGCAGUUGAUCAUGGAAAUUCUUCAAGAGCGCAAUCAAGCGAACCAAGGCAACCAAGGCAACAAUCACAAUCACUUUGCUACACUCAACCAGUUCCUUGCUAACCAGCCAAAGACUUUCAGCAAUUGUGUUGAGGCAACUGAUGCUGAUGAUUGGCUCGUGGACUUAUGCAAGCAUUUCGAGUGCAGUAACGUCAGGCCUGAGGACUUUGUUAAGUUCGCUUCCUUCCAACUCAAAGACCAAGCUGCAGAAUGGUUCCAGCAGUACAAGGAUUCCAGAGGAGGUGGGAUGAAUUCCGUCAAGACUUCAAAGCUCAUCAUAUUCCCCAGAGCGUGGUUGAGAGCAAGCGUGAGGAAUUUCGCAACCUGAAGCUUUUCAGAAGGCCAUGGGCACCAACAUCCGCUCCAGCACUGCUUUCCAUCCUCAAACUAGCGGUCAAGUCGAGCGUGUCAACCAGAUUCUUGAAGAUAUGCUCAGGGCUUGUGUGAUCUCCUUCGGCAUGAAGUGGCAGGAUUGUCUUCCAUAUGCUGAAUUCUCCUACAACAACAGUUUUUAGGCAAGUUCGGGCAAGGCCCUAUUCGAAAUUCUGUAUGGCAGGAAGUGAUGUACCCCUCUCAACUGGUCUGAAACCGGUGAACGUCAACUUUUGGGAAAUGACUUAAUCACCGAGGCAGAGGAAAUGUGCAAAGUCAUUCGAGAUAACCUCAAAGCAGCGCAAUCGCGCCAGAAGAGCUACUAUGAUAGUAAGCACCGUGAUUUGGCUUUCGAGAUCGGAGAUCAUGUUUACCUCCGCGUCUCUCCAGUGAAAGGUACUCGUCGCUUCGGUAUCAACGGGAAACUUGCCCCUAGAUACGUGGGACCUUUCAAGAUCGUCAGCAAGAGAGGCGAUCUCGCCUAUCAACUCAAGCUUCCUUCAAACUUUGCAAAUGUGCAUGACGUGUUCCAUGUCUCUCAGCUCCGCAAGUGCUUCAAGACUCCUGACCGCACCGUCAACUUCGAAGACAUUGAGCUCCAAGAAGAUCUCUCUUAUCGUGAGCACCCCGUGGCUAUUCUUGAAGAGACUGAACGCAGACUCGCAAUAAGUCAAUCAAAUUCCUCAAAGUCAUGUGGUCACACCAUUCCGACCGUGAAGCCACCUGGGAAUGCGAGGAUCACCUCCGUUCUGAGUACCCGGCGUUCUUCCAGUCCUAGAUCUCGGGACGAGAUCCUUUCGUAGUGGUGGAGUGCUGUAACACCCCGGAUAUGAUUUACCUAAUAUGUAAUCCAACUCUUGCCGUUUCCGGCGUUAAGUUAUUUUAUUUUCUCGGGUUCGGGUUUUUGUCUCCGUGUGUUGUUGUCGUUGUCAUGCAUCUCAUAUCAUGUCAUCAUGUUCAUUGCAUUUGCAUACGUGUUCGUCUCAUGCAUCCGAGCAUUUUCCCCGUUGUCCGUUUUGCAUUCCGGCGCUCCGUUCUCCUCCGGUGGUCAUUUCUACCUUUCUUUCGUGUGUGGGGAUUAAACAUUUCCGGAUUGGACCGAGACUUGCCAAGCGGCCUUGGUUUACUACCGAUAGACCGCCUGUCAAGUUUCGUACCAUUUGGACUUCGUUUGAUGCUCCAACGGUUAACCGAGGGACCCAAAAGGCCUUGUGUGUGUUGCAGCCCAACACCCAUCCAAUUUGGCCCAGAACCCACCAAAACCCUCUCCAUCAUCUAGAGCGUUCGAUCACGAUCGCGUGGCCGAAAACCACACCUCAUUUGGACUCUCCUAGCUCCUCCUAUGCCUAUUUAAAGACCCCUCCGAAAUUCUCGUUUUCCUCCCCCGAAACCCUAGUCGUCUCCCACCUCUUGCCGCCGGACGCGUCCGCUCGGGCCGGACGUGUCCGUUUCGUCCCGCCGCCGCCAUGUGGCGGUCUCCUAUUUGUCCACCCGGGUGCCCACUUCGCCGGAUCCGCCGGGCCCGAAGAGCCCAUCGCCGGCCCCCCGGCCCAAAGCCGCCGCCGCCGAGGCCCGCGCCUCGCUCGGCCGCGCGCCGCCACCGGCCGGCUCCGCCCCGCAGCCGGCCUCCCUCACCGGCCGCCGCCCCGCACCGGGCCGGCCGCCGUCCCGCGCCGGUGAGCGCCGCCGCCCCGCCUCCAAUCGCGUCCGGCACCGCCCCACUCCGGCCUCCUCCUCCACGCCCGCACCCCCUCCGGCCGGUCUCGUUCUUCUCCGGCGAAGCUUCGGCGUCCUCGGCUUCCGUGCAUGAACAGUAACUCCGGCGAGAUCCCGAUCUGGAUCUGAGAUCCGAAAUCUCGGGGUUGACUUUUUCGUCCCAAACCCUAAUUAUUUUUCUAUGUUCAUCGUGCCGUAACUUUGUAUCCGUAGAUCCGUUUUGGGCAUAUAGCAUAUCAAAAUGCUCGCCUCAGAGAACGCAUCAUUUCAUCUCAUUGAAUCAUUUUCAUUUGAGUUCAUCUUGAUGCCCGAAAUGCUGUUGGAAGAGUGCUAUUUGAGUUAAUUGUCAGAUCUGCUGCACCAAAUAGCUAUUUGUCAUUUUUGCCAUGAUUAUUGUGUGCAUGAUAUGCCCGUGAGCUCUACAUAUGUUUUGUUAUAUGCUUUGCCAUCUCUCCAGAGGUGCAAUCCAUGUAUUUUUGUGAUGUGGGUGGUGACUAGCACAAGCUUGCAAAGUGGUGCAUUUGUUAUUGCUGAUUUCAGGGACUUAGCAAUUCCACUAAGUCCUUGGUUUGUCUUUAUCAAUAUGCCAUAUGUUCAUGUUGUUUCCUAGUGAUCCGUGCCUCUUUCGAGGAUGAUUCGUAAGGAUGAUUUAUUAAUCUUGUAGUGCUCUAUACAUCCAUGUAUUUGUUUGCAAUUAUGGAGCACCCUAGUGUGAGCCAAUCAAGCUCUACUUUUGCUAUUUCGUGAAUCUGAGUAGAUUGUCUACUUGUUAGCGAUUUUGCCGAGGAUGUUGUAGUCGUUCCGUGCAUGCUAUGUUAUUGUUCUUGCCAUGUCUAGCUUGUAUAAUGUGUAUUCUUGAUGGGUGUAUGCUUAGAUUGUCAUGACAUGCUCUGUAGUGAGUGCAUCGAGCUCGUAAACAUGCCUACUUGAUAUCUGAUUUGCAUGCUCCAAUUUUUCACUAAGUCUGUGAUCUGAUUAUAUUUUUGCCAUGUUCACAUGCUUGCAAUUGUAUUUUCUGAUCCCUUUUGACUCAAGGUCACUAAGGGACUUUUGUUAAGCUCUUUGAGUAGCUCCAUUCCAUGCCUUGCUUAGCCAUGUUCAGUUCCUUUAGCAUCUAGUUUUCAUGCUCCAAAGUGUGCUACCUGAUCUGAAAUUCCAGACAAGUGUUAAUUUCACUAAGUCUGAAAUCUGUUUACCAAUUGCACUUUUGUCAUGCUUGUUUGAACCUGUUAAUGGAUGAAUUGGCCAUAGCUCAGUGUUCAUCUUUUGUUAAGCAUCAUGAAUGGAUCUCUACCAUGUAUUUUGUUGUCAUGUUUGGGUGCUGUAGCAUGUUUGUCUUGUUGCAUUUAGAUGGCCACUUGCUGUUUAUCGCAGACCGUUGUCAUAUUUGAAUUCCUUGCCAUUUCCAAACCGUGCAUCCGAUUCCGGCGUUCUUUAUAUCGAUUUCAACCGCAAUCACCUCACCUUUCCAGUGGCACACUUGGAUUUCCAUGUUGAGGCCAGGUUCAUUCAUUCCUUGUCAAAUCUUGCAUAUGCAUCACAUAUCGCAUCCCGCAUAGCAUACCAUGUUUGCAUCUUGUUGUUUGAGCUUUGCACGUGGUUGAUUGUGUUCCGUUUGCUUGUUUGUCUUGUUUGGGUAGAGCCGGGAGACGAGUUCGCUAACGAGGAGCCUGUUGAGUUUGCUUUCGAGGAUCCGGUCAACUCUGACAACUUUGCAGGCAAGAUGAUCAUACCCUCGAAAUCACUUCUAUCUUUGCUUUGCUAGAUGCUCGUCCUUUUGCUAUGCCUAUGCUACGAUGCCUACCACUUGCUUAUCAUGCCUCCAAAAUUGCCAUGUCAAGCCUCUAACCCACCAUGUCCUAGCAAACCGUUGAGUGGCUAUGUUACCGCUUUGCUCAGCCCCUCUUAUAGCGUUGCUAGUGUUAGGUGAAGAUUGGAGACCGUCCCUUGUUGGAACAUUAUUUUCUUGUUGGAAUAUCAUUAUAUUAUCUUGUUAUCUUAAUGUAUCUAUAUAGUUGGUAAAGGGUGGAAGGCUCGGCCUCUCGCCUAGUGUUUUGUUCCACUCUUGCCGCCCUAGUUUCCGUCAUAUCGAUGUUAUGUUCCCGGAUUUUGCGUUCCUUACGCGGUUGGGUAAUAAUGGGAACCCCUUGACAAAUCGCCUUGAAUAAAACUUCUCCAGCAAUGCCCAACCUUGGUUUUACCGUUUGCCACCUAGCCUCUUUUUCACUUGGGUUUCCGGAGCCCGAGGGUCAUCUUAUUUAAACACCCCCCGGGCCAGUGCUCCUCUGAGUGUUGGUCCAAACUACAGUCCUGCGCAGCGCCCCCUUGGGGAAACUCGAGGUUUGGUUUUAGUUGUAUGGAGCGCUCAUCUGAGUGUGCCCUGAGAACGAGAUAUGUGCAGCUCCUAUCGGGAUUUGUCGGCACAUUCGAGCAGUGUUGUUGGAUUGGUUUUAACUUAUCAGGUUGUCUUGUAGAACCGGGAUACCGAGUCUGAUCAGAACGUCUCGGGAGAAGGUAUAUCCUUCGUUGACCGUGAGAGCUUGUCAUGGGCUAAGUUGGGACUCCCCUGCAGGGAUUUGAACUUUCAAAAGCCGUGCCCGCGGUUAUGGGCAGAUGGGAAUUUGUUAAUGUCCGGUUGUAGAUAACUUGAACCUUAACUUAAUUAAAAUGAAUCAACUGUGUGAGUUACCGUGAUGGUCUCUUCUCGGCGGAGUCCGGGAAGCGAACACGGUGUUGGAGUAAUGCUUGCCGCGGGUUGUUCUCUAGUUAUUCGAUCAUGCAUUGCCUUCUCUUCUCGCUCUCAUUUGCGAAUAGGUUAGCCACCAUAUAUGCUAGUCGCUUGCUGCAGCUCCACAUAUUUACCUUGCCUUACCUACAAGCUUAAAUAGUCUUGAUCGCGAGGGUGCGAGAUUGCCGAGUCCCUGUGGCUCACAGAUUACUUCCAAACCAGAUGCAGGGCCUGCUGACUCCGUUCCAGAUGACGCGCUUGAGCUCAAGUGGGAGUUUGACGAGGACUCACGCCGUUACUAUGUGUCUUUCCUUGAUGAUCAGUAGUGGUGCCCAGUUGGGGCGAUCGGGACCAUGUCGCACGUUGGGUUGAUCUUUUAAUUUUGGCAUCGUAGUUGGGCCAUGAGUGAUUGAAUGAUGUAAUGCUAUUUAUGUACUUGGUUUGACGUGGCGAGUGUAAGCCAACUAUGUUCCUUCCCCUUUUAUUAUUUAUAUUACAUGGGAUGUUGUGAAGAUUGCCUAACUUGAGACAUUGCUUUCAAUGCGGUUAUGCCUCUAAGUCGUGCUUCGACACGUAGGAGAUAUAGCCGCAUCGAGGGCGUUACAAUGUUGCUGCUGAGCGGGAUGUUGAGGAUUUCCUCGAUAUCCAUCGGGCACAGAUGUUCCUGAAGCAGUGCGCGAUCCCAAGUAAAAGUGACAGGGUUUAUUAGUUCUGAAACCUGUUGAGGAGGAUCCGGAGAUUUAGGGCACACCGGUUGCAGCUUGAAAUCACGGGGAAUCCAAUUGUCGUGCCAGAUGUUGGUGUCUUCUCCCGAUCCAAUGCGUUUCACAAGGCCAAGCUUUAGUGCAUCACGCCCUUCAAUUAUAGAACGCCAGACCUGUGAUGGGUUCUUACCCACAUAUGCUUCAAGGAUUGAUGUGGACGGGAAGUAUACUGCUUUAAGUAUCCGAGCGCUGAGAGAGGCAGGCUGAGUCAGGAGGCGCCAGGCUUGCCGGGCAAAUAGCGCCAAGUUGAAGAGCUCGAUAUCUCGGAAACCCAUACCUCCCAUACACUUUGGUUGUGACAUGAUCUCCCAGGAGACCCAGGUAGUCUUUCUUUCCCCUUUCUUUGAUACCCACCAAAAUUUCCUCAACAAGCCAUUGAUAUGCUGACAUAAGCCUCGUGGCAAUUUGAAACAAGACAUGGAAUAUGUAGGAAUCGCCUGGGCAACAGAUUUUAAGCACUUCCUUACCACCCGCGGAUAAAGAUUUCUCCAUCCAUCCUUGCACAUGCUUCCAUAUUCGAUCCUUUAGGUAUUUGAAAGAACCCUCCUUAGCUCUCCCCACAUCCGCGGGAAGGCCAAGGUACCUAUCGGAGAGCUGUUCAUUUUGGACCUCAAGGAUCUGUUUAACUUCAUGCUUCAAAGAGUCCGUACAACCCUUGCUAAAAAAUAUAGAAGACUUGUCCUUGUUGAUGCGUUGCCCCGAAGCAUCACAGUAACGGCGCAGCAAAGAAUCUACCCUAGUUGCCAUCUCAGGUGUAGCAUUAAAAAACAAUAGACUAUCAUCAGCAAAGAGCAAAUGAUUUACCUCGGGAGCAUCCGGUGCCACCUUAAGACCCCUCACGCUAGCAUUCGGAUCAUCUGAUUUCAGCAAGCAAGAGAGCCCCACGGCUGCCAACAGAAAAAGGUAAGGAGAUAUUGGGUCACCUUGCCUUAGGCCUCGGGACGGGUUGAAUUCCUCUUGUUUUUCACCGUUGAAAAUGACAGAGAAAGAAACUGAAGUAACACAUCUCAUAACAAUCUCAGUAAAACGUGGGCUGAUACCCAUCUUCAGCAUCACCCGUUCAAGAUAAUUCCACUCGAUUCUAUCAUAUGCUUUCAUCAUAUCAAGCUUCAAUGCACAAAAUAUGUUCCCCUUUAACUUCCUUGUCUUCAUGUAGUGAAGACAUUCAUAGGCAGAGAUGAAGUUAUCUGUGAUAAGAUGACCCGGUACAAACGCGGAUUGUUCCUUAGAGAUGAUGUCGGGGAGAAUAAGUUUGAGCCGAUUAGCCAAAACCUUAGAUGCAAUCUUGAAGAUCACGUUGCAUAGACUGAUCGGUCGAAACUGUCCUAGAGUUUUCGGACUUGCAAUCUUGGGGAUUAAAACAAUGAAUGUUUGAUUUAUCUCUUUCGGGGAAUCCUCUCCCUUUAGAACACGGAGCAUCAUACCUGUUACCUCAUCACCACACAACUCUCAGCGCCACUGAAAAAAGUGCGUGGGAAAGCCAUCGGGUCCCAGAGCCUUGGUGGGAAACAUUUGAAACAGCGCCGCUUUCACUUCAGAGUUGGUAUAUGGAGCAUUGAGCAAAUUAUUCAUGGCUGCAUCCACCCUAGUUGGCAUGUGAGAUAAAACUUCCUCGAUCCCGAUCGUAUUUUCAGAAGCGUAUAGGUUGCCGUAGAAGCUAGUAGCCAUGCUCGCCAUCUCUACUUCGUCCACGCACACCGUGCCAUCUGGUCGCUGUAGUUCAGUAAUGCGGUUCUUGGAUCUUCUCGCACUAGCUUUCCUGUGAAAAAACUGUGUGUUCCUAUCUCCCUCCGCAAGCCAUUGUAUGCGUGCCCGCUGGCGCCACAUGAGCUCUUCAUGUAAACAUAGCUCAGCCAUUCUAGCUUCAAUGCGCUCUUCUUCCGGCGACGGGCCAACACGGUCUGGCAGUGCUCUCCGCUCCGCAAGCUGCGAACUAGCGAACGCAGCUCCGAUCGGACCGCCCCGAACGUGGUUCGACCCCAUUUUUUUCAAAGUCCCCGCUACAGCAGCCAGCUUGUCAGAAAGCUCCCCAACAGUUUGAGCCUUGCCGGUGGUGUUCCAAGCUUCCACAACCAUGUCGCCGAAGCCCAGAUCACGUUCCCACAUGCACUCAUACCUAAACCGCUUCUGCUUUGCUCGUACACCUGUAGUCACGAGCUCCAUUUCCAGUAAUAUUGGACAGUGAUCAGACUUUGCGGCAGUUAGAUGUUCAACCGUAGCAAAGGGAAAAAGGGUGGACCAGUCGGCCGAACCCAUGGCUCUAUCCAGCUGAACUCUGCAAAAAUGUCCUCUUGCCACUUUCUUCUCCCAAGUCUAGUCCAGACCGCGGUAACCCAAAUCAGCAAGUCCACAAACAUCCACCGCUUCCCUGAAAGCUUCCAUCUGUGCGCUAUCACGCUCGUUCGGACCAAAUUGUUCCCUGGCCUGCAAAAUUUCAUUAAAAUCUCCAAUACACAUCCAUGGGAGCGUACUCUCUCCCCUCAACCUCUUCAUUGUGUUCCAAGUUUUGUAUCUGAGGGAUCUCGUUGCUUCACCAUAGAAACAUGAGAGGUGCCACUGUUCCUUCCCUGCUUCAAGUACCCAAGCAUCCACAUGGUAGUCUGAAAAGGUUUUUAUUGCAACAUCAACCGAAUUUUUCCAGAAGAUACAAAUGCCUCCACUUCGACCACUACUACCAACACCGAAACUAAAAUCAAAACCAAGAGAAAAACGAAGACCUUCAACACGACUCUUCUGUAACUGAGUUUCAACUAAGCAAAGGAUAGUGGGCGAACUAAGCUCCACGAGGUCGCGGAGUUCUCGAACUGUCGCGGGAUCGUCCAUCCCACGACAAUUCCAACUUAAAAUUUUCAUUGGGCCUGGCGGCGCUCCUCGGAGGAGCCCGCCAAUAACGCCUGCUUUUCUGUUCCCUGCUUCAUCGGUGACCCAAAUUUCUUUGCUUUCUUAGCGUCCCUUGGGGAGACGUAUGCUGGUGCUGGUGGCGGGACUGCAUUAGCACCCGAAUCAGCUGCUAUGUGCCUCUCCAUCCCAUCCCCAGGAGCCGAGCUGUCCACCAAGGCUGGGGACAGGUUCCUGCGUGCCGUCGGGGCGUCGUGCACUUCCUCCCUUGCAUCUCCCGUCUUGAGCGGGCUGGUAACUUCAUCCUCUUCAGCAGCAUUGUCAAAACCAGCAUCUUGAGAAGAGCGCUUGCGCUGUGGAGAGCGCUGGCGGGGUGCCGGAGCGCCUCGGCCUGCCCUUCCUCUACCUCUUCCACCUGAUCGACCUCCACGGGCAGCCCAGCCGCCUUGUUGCUCUGGGGCAAUUUCCCUCCUCUGUGCCAACAUCCAGCCUCUCCAUUGUUUGUUUUUCUCCUCCCAGACACCAUAGCCACACUCCUCAUGGUUAUGCCCCAUGAGUCCGCAGACCUUACAGAAAUAGGGGAUCUUCUCGUAUUUAACCGGAAGAAACAGUCGGCCCUCUCCCACGACAUUCAAUGGGGUGACUCGUGCGAGAGGUUUGUUGACAAGAACCUUGGCCCGAACCCUGACAUAACCCCCUUCAUAAAACAGUCGAGGAGCGAGCUGGAUUUCCUUCACCCGCCCGAUGCGACGGGCUAAUUGAUCAACCACCUCUGCCUUGCGAUAUAGUUCUGGUAUGUUGUGAAUCUAAGCCCAUACAUACAGUCCCUCAAAGUCAAAGGAUGUGGAUUCCUUCUUACCAUCAUAGUCCUCAAUCAGCAUCCCCAUCCCCCUGAAUAGCCAUGGACCACCAUGCACCCCCUUCUUCCAGUCGCCAAGGCAGAACAUCUGGAAGAUAAACAGGUUUUCGCCCGCCUCCCUAUACUUGGGGACGUGUGCUAGCGACCAGAUUGACUUCAUGCACUCAAACAUUGAGGACGAACUGAAAGUACGGGUCGUGUUCACCUUCGCAAUCGCUAGCCACCUAGCGUCCGCUGCAAACUUCUUUACCUCCUCCUCCCCUACAACCACAUCAUCAAGCUCAUCAUCUUGCAGGUCCAAGUGCUGCAGCAUCUCUUCAAGAUUCUUCCCUGACCACCCCGCAGACGAUGAUUCCGCACGUCCUGCCAUCUAGGGUUUCUUCCUUCAACGAUAGAACGCUCCAAAACAGCCGAUCCGACUCGCUCUCCUGCCGACCAAGGGGAUGAUCUGCGCAGGAGGAACAGCCGGCGGUCAAUUCACCGGUGAGAUCUCACGGCGGCGAUGGGAUCGCCACCAGAGCCGAAAAACCCUAAGCGAGAGGGUCAAUUCACUAGCCCUUUUCCUUCGUGGCAUGCCCAUCUCUGAUUGCUCGAUCGCUUCCUUGCACAUUGGGCCCUAUUUGAUGUUCUCUACCGCUGAAUGUCGUUGCUUCGCACAAGCCAGCAACCGAGCGUACCGCAGAUGGGCCGACCCAAGUAGCUAGGCUCUGUUUGUUUUGUUGUCGUUUCUUCGGGAGCAACUAGUUAAUGAGCGCUCCUUCGGGAGCCUCCCAACGAUCAGCGCCACUUGGAGCGCUCUCAACCAUUCGCCACGUGUCGCGCUCUGGACGCUCCCUUCGGAUUUUAUUUUUUUAUUUUUCCGCACACGUUUUCGGCUUUUUAAACGGUUUUUUCCGGGUUUUUUCGACGUUUUGGUUUUCUCCCGGUCUUUCUUAGCUUUUCGAUAAAAAAAAACUAAAUUUUUUUUCGUGAAAAAACGCGUUUUCUUUUUUUUUCUUUCGUGAAAAUCACGGUUUUUCUUCCGCGAGAGGCACGGUUGUGCUUUAGCGAGAGUCACGGCCGUGCCUCUCGGAAAGAAAAAAACGUGUUUUUUAUUAUUUUUCUUUCGCGAGAGUCACGGGUUUGCUUUUGCGAGAAGCACGGUUGUGGUUUCGCGAGAGUCACGGCCGUGCCUCUCGGAAAGGGAAAAACGAAACGCGUUUUCUGUUUUUUUUUCGUUCAUGAGAGUCACGGUUUGCUUCCGCGAGAGGCACGGUUGUACUUACGCGAAAGUCACGACCGUGCCUCUCGAAAAGGGAAAAAAUACGUGUUUUUUGUUUUUUUUCGCGAGAGUCACGGUUUUCCUUUGCGAGAGGCACGGUUGUGCUUUCGCGAGAGUCACAGCCGUGCCUCUCGGAAACGGGAAAAAACACGUUUUCUGUUUUUUUUUCCUUACCCGAGUGUCACGGUUUUGCUUCCACGAGAGGCACGGUUGUGAUUUUGCGAGAGGCACGGAUGUGCCUCUUUCGGAAAGGGAAAAAAUCAUGCUCCCGGUUCGUUUUUUCGCCCGGUUUUUUUCGUGAAAAAAAAGUUCGUCAAAACCUAUCAACAUGGGAUCUAGUUUUGAAUAUCUCGACGCGAGGAAUUCAACGGUGAAAACAGUUCGAGAUUUGGACGCACGGUUUAAGAGAUAAAACGUUUUGAAUAAAUGGAUCUACGAAGAAAGGGAAAACUCCCAGGUUGCGACAAGUGGUGCGUUGCAUGUGCGCCACUUGUCACGACCUAGGAAAGUGAAGUGUUCUUUGCAACGAGUACUCCUUAGGGCAUCUCCAGCCGUUGGCCCCCAGGAGGGGCAAAAAAUUGCCCCCUGGGGGCGCACCAGCGCUAAACCGCGCACUGGGGGCGUGAUGCCCCCCAGUCGCGGCCCCCCGCGGGUUUUUAAAAAACUCAAAUAUGGCGCAAACACGACUCAAAUUUAACGCAAACAUCGGGGAGUUCGUUCAAAUUUAAACAUACUUUACAAAAAAGGGAAAAACUACCGCGGGCUACCCCCGCCGUCUCCCUCGCCGCCCGCCUCGCCGCCCGCCCACGUGGUUCUACAUGCCGAGGAGGCGGUAGAACCACGUGUAGUCACCGUCGUCGUCGUCGUCGCCCCCGCCGACGCCUCCGCCGUCCCUGCUGCAUCCCUCCACCGGUUAGCGCGGCGGGUUGGACGGUCCGGGGGCGUCGUCGUCGUCGUUGCUGUCGAGGACCACAACGCCGUGCUCGUCCUUGCGCCCAAGCUUGUGGGCGGCGAUCUCCUCAAGGGCCCGGUGCUGCCGGACCAUCUCGUCGCGGAGGUAGUCAUCCCGCGCCCACCGCAGGGCGUCCUCGUCGGAGAAGCCACGCGGGGCUACCUCCUCGUACUCCGCGGGGAGGCCGGGCUCCGGCUUGGGCUCGACAAGGACGAAGCGGCCGGUGGGGGAGGCGUUGUCGCCGAUGCGAACGCCGGAGCUGAGGGUGCGCGCGCUGACAGGCGCGCCCUGGGGCUCCGGCUUGACGGGCCGAAGGUGGAGACAGGGAGAGCCGCCGGACGAGGAGGAGGACCCCCUGGUCUCCAUGCGCCUCGGGGUCCAGGAGCUUCCCCGGCGGCGUGUGAAGGACGGGGGAGCGGGGUACUCGAGGUGCGGCGUGUUGCCGCCCUCGAUGUACUCGAGGACGGCCUCCAACGUGCGACCGGGCACGCCCCACCACCGACACCGGCCGACGGCGUUGAGCCUGCCAGAGGGCUCGACGCCGUUGGUGGCCUCGAGCUGCUCGGCGUGACGGCGGCGGAAGUAGGGCUCCCAGAGCGGGCUGUCGGGGACGUACCGUGGCCCCUCCCUCGCCGCAUGCGGCAGGGACGAGCGGAUGCGUGCGAUCUCCGCAUGCCGCGCCGCGCCAGUGGGUAUCGGGGGCACCGGCACGCCGCCGGCGCUGAUCCUCCACGUCCCGGGUACCCGCAUGUCCGGCGGGACCGGGUACUCGGCCUCGAAAAGGAGGCGAGCCUCGCUCUCGUGAAAAUGGCGGCGGCCGAAGCCGUUCGCAGCCGCGCCGUCAUCUGGGAAGCACUCGGCCAUGGGUGCUGGAGACGGCGAGAGAGAUGAGAGGGAGGAACGACGACGGCGAGAGAGAUGAGAGGGAGGAACGACGACGGCGAGAGAGUACGAGUCGCCGAGUGCGCUGGGGCGCGUCUUAUAUAGGUCGAGGCGCCGACCGUGCGCGAGCCGCCGUGAGUACGCGUUGCGGGCGAGGGACGCGCGUCAUCCAGUCUUCACUUCGCCGCCCGUGAGGCAUCAAUGGCGCAGGCUGACCGGCGCGGCAGCGCGGCAGCUUUGGCAUUGAUUCGCUGCGGGAAACGAGGCGAUAAGGACGACGAAGGGGCGAGAAGAGGGUAGAGUCGCUGACGCGGUGGGCCUGCGGCUGUUUCGUGCUAAAACAGUUCGCCCCGGCGUCCCCGGGCGCCCCCCAGCGCGUCGGGUUCGGCUUGGGUCCGCCGGCGUUGUUUUCGGCCCAAGCCGGCGAAAAUCGGGCUCCUGGGGGCGCGACUGGGCCGAUUUUUCGGCGCCGGCGCAAAAAAAAAACGCCUGGGGAGGCCUUCCCGGGGGCACGGCUGGAGAUACCUUUAAUUAGUGAUUUCGCAAUUCUUCCCAGUUUUCUCUGGUUUUUUUCCUUUUAUGUAAUUUAUUCAUUGGUUUUCCUUUCCUACUUUUAUUUUAAGUAGAAAAUUUUGAAAAAUGUUCUCUCAUUUGAAAAAAUGUUCAUGUUUUAAAAAAAGUUUGCAUGUAGAAAAAGGUUUGUAAUUUUUAGAAAAAUAAUCAUGUUUUCAAAACUAUUUGUGUUUCCAAAAAGGUUCUCAAUUUAUUUAUUUUCUUAUUUUUAAAUAAUCUUUGGAAAAUACAAUCAAUGUUCUCAUUUUAAAUUUUUUGUAAAAUUAAAAAAUGUUUACAAUUUCAAAAUUUGUCUUUGUCUAUGAAAAAAUGUUUGCGUUUUUAAACUAGGUACAAUUUUUAAAAAAAUAGUGAUUACCAAAAAAAAUUCUAUUUUAUUCGUAAAAUGGCUACUACAGUGCUACUUCCUUAACAGUUCAAUAUAACCGUUGUUGACACUGUCGUCGACUCUAAAAACGUCUUGUAAAAAUUAUAGAGGGAGUAGUUACUACAUUGCCUGGCUGCAGCGAUUGGGCGCUGCAGCAAUUCGCCGCUUCAAUGGGCUCAUGUGGGCUGCUCCUAUGCAGCUCGCUACUGUUGAACACAGUGAGCAUUACACAGGUGGUCCGGUCGACAAAUUGAGGCAAAAACGGCAUAUAGGAAACACGAUAUUCAUGUUUUUUUAUGAGAAAUCUUGCCUUGAUCCAAAACAAUAUUCAUAGGAACAAGGUUUGGGUCAUCUUAGGUAAAGGCAACAAAACUUGGGCCGGCCCUAGGCCUACAGCCAAUGUCUUGUUUCAUAUACUCCCUCCGAUCUGCUGAGAAGAAAAACUCCCUCCCAUCCAUAUUAAUUAUCGUAGAUUUAGUUUAAAGGGAAACGGUUUGACCCGGCGUGCCGGCCGAACGCACCACCGGACGUGCGCGGCUCGUUGGAUCAAAUUAGAUCCUACUGCCCAGCAACGCAUGCACCCCAC